rnacentral:lncRNA from 1 species
UUCGCUUCCAGCCAUUUAUAAAUAAAGACGGGGUAUUUUUGUCAGACCGAUAAUAUUUCCGCAGAAAUAAAAGGUACACGAAACCUAUAUAAAAGGAAUAAAGAAGAGGAAACGACAUUAUUUUUUAUUCGGUGUUGCUUCAUAUCUAGCUAAAAAGAAAGCAAAAUGGCAGCAGUAGACGAGCGUCCUUCAGCUAAGAGGUGGCUUCCUCUUGAAGCUAAUCCCGAUAUCAUGAACCAGGUAUUAUUCUACUUUUCUUUUCUUUUCUAUUUUGUUGGUUUUCUCGUUUAGUUUAUAGAUCAUCCGCUGUUUGUUCACUAAAGAAGAGAAUUUAAAUGAAUUUUUGUAUUAUUGUUAUUAAUCGCAUAACAAUUUCGAAGAGUGAUUUUUUUAUUUGGUCUUUUGGUUUUCCUUUCUUUUUUUUUUUUUUUAAUUUGAAAUUUGAUAGAUUCUGGAAGUUGUUUGAAAGACACCCUUUUUGUUUACAGAGAAAAAUGAAAGAAAUUAUCUAUUGAACUGCUUAUCUAUGGUUAUGAGUUGUUGCUUUUAUUACUUUAAAACAAAAUGGCCACGUAGAGGGUUAUUCUGUUUGUGAAGAGUAUUCUUAGUUUAGUUUACUUCAUAUUUUUUAUUUUGUAGUUCCUUUGUGGCCUCGGUCUUCCAGCUGAGGAGGCAGAGUGCUAUGAUGUGUAUGGCUUGGAUGAUGAGCUCUUGGCAAUGGUUCCGCAACCUGUUCUUGCCGUGCUGUUUCUUUAUCCCUUAACUGCCCAGGUCUGUUAAAACCAAAUUUGUUUCUUUAUACUUGGUAUGCUUUACGAGUAUAUACUUGUUUGCUGAUUUUUUUUUUUUUUUUCAAAUUUUGAUUUCUUCAGAGUGAAGAAGAAAGAAGGUUGCAGGACAAUGACAAAAAGGUGAGUGUGAAUGUGUGAUGAUAGGACGUAAUUACUUUUGCUUUAUUAUGCUGUUCUUGAUCAUAAAUAAUCUCUUUUUAAUUAUGAAUACAUACAUAUCAUUUGCAUCCUCUUUGUUAUUUUUUGGUUAUAAGUCUCUUGGUUUUCCUCUUAUCAUGGUUGAUCAAUUGUUUUUGUUUUCUAACUGAGCAAAUGCGCCCGGUGUUGUCGUUCACUUCUAUUUGUGGAGCACAACUUCACUCCACUUUCCUCUUUUUUUCUCUCUGUAGGAAUUUAGCAAGAAUGUUUAUUUCAUGAAGCAAACUGUUGGAAAUGCUUGUGGAACAAUUGGACUUCUUCAUGCUGUUGGGAACGUCACUUCGGAAAUCAAGUUUCGUAAGUUGUGCCUACUUUUCCUUUAAUUAAGUGUUGCUAGUGUAGCAGUGGUGCUGGCAAUACAAAUACUUUAGAAAUGCUAGUAAUGCAUGCAGCUUUUCUUGCAUUCAAGGUACCUCUAAAUGCUCAUAGUAUCAGCCAAGUGCUUGUUUGUAUUGUCAUAUAUAUUGCUUCCCUUUACAUUUUUUCUUGUUAUUGCAGAAGCUGAUUCAUUCUUCGAUAAAUUUUACAAGUCCACAGCGAACUUGGAUCCACAAGAGGUGAUUCAUUCUUGGUUCUAUUUCCGCUUUUCCUUUUUUCCCACCCCUAGAGUUAUCUGUUGACUUUGAAUAAUAUUGUUUAUUGCCUCUCAUUUCUCACUUCUAAUUGCUAUGAGUUUUUCAUAUUCUCUCUGCAGCGUGCAGCAUUUCUUGAGAAUGAUAAGGAAAUGGAAGUUGCUCAUUCGGUAGCAGCUUCAGCUGGUGACACAGAGGUAUUUACACAUGCUUGUUUUCAUUAUAAUCAGUAAGGACACUAGUACGGCAUGAGAAUAUCAGCUAAAAUUUGUUAAUCAUAUGGCUGGGCAUUACAUCUUCGUGAGAAUAUCAGCUAAAAUUUGUUAAUCAUAUGGCUGGGCAUUACAUCUUCGUGAGAAUAUCAGCUAAAAUUUGUUAAUCAUAUGGUUGGGCAUUACAUCUUCGUGAGAAUAUAAGCUAUAAUUUGUCUUAAAUGUAUUGCUUUUGUGACCAAAUGGAAGCUUAGCUGUUAAAUUAGACAUUCUCAUAAAGCUGGGAUUUUGGGAGUGAAAAUAACUGAUUCAUAUUUGUGGUGGUAGUGAUUACAACCCUCAUGCUUUUGUGUGUAUAGGUUAAUAAUCCAUGUGAGUGUGAUUCUAUAUGAACUACGCAUUAUACUGAUUUCUAAAGGACCCAUUAUAAAUUCCCAUGAGAAGCUGGCUCUAAGAAAUAUCUUAUUGUUUUAUUUGGCACUAUCAAGUAAGGUUUGGGUGCUACAGUAUACUAUUGGAUUGGACUGUGGGAGUCUAAUUGUGAAAAUGUGAUUUGUCGGGUCAAAUUACUUUCUUAGCAGUUAUUAUAUACAAGGUGACAUGAAAAGUUGACCAGUGUUGAUCGCCGUCUUUGUGAAGUUUCAUGCUCAGCUUCAAAAUGUAGAUUUAAAUGCACUGGACUGGUGGUUGAGGAUAUACCUUUACUGGCUAUAGAACCAUUGAUUCCCCCCCCCCCCCCCCCCCCCAAAAAAAAAAAAUUGGAAUUAAGAGUUCGCCAAUCAAUAUAAUUUUCCCCUAACCAUUUUUUAAAAAAAAAAUGGUAAGAGUUCGUCAAUCAAUUUCUUUUUUUCCGUUUCCUUCUGUUUUUUCCUAGUUAUCAAAUGAUGUAUAACAUCGUAAGCUCCAAUUAGUUUAAUAUCGUAAGUUGCAAUUGGUUUAUCUUCAUUUGUCUUACCAUUUUCUUAUUUACAGGCUACCGAUGACGUGAAUGAUCAUUUUAUCUGCUUCACCUGUGUGGAUGGUACAUGCUUCCUUUCGAUAGUUAACUUAUUUUUUUCCCUCUCAUAUUGAUUAGCCAAUGUUCAGCUGUUAACCAGCUUUUGAGAAAUUCUAUCUAUGCUUUUGUAUUUAUCAAAAUCUUUUAUGUAGGGGAACUUUAUGAACUUGAUGGAGGGAAGUCGGGGCCAAUAUCCCAUGGUGCUUCGUCUCCAAGCAGCUUAUUGCUGGUAUGGUAAUUGGCAUUAUAAAACUGUGUAUUUCUACCCUCUUUAGAUUCUUAGAUCCCAAAAGAAGCAAAAAUAAAGAAAUUCUUCAGUUUUGGAUCUGAGAAAGAAAAAAAUAUAAGAAAAUGAAAAGGCAUUAGUCUUAAGGUCAUAUUUAGUAUUGAGGUUGGACAGCUGUAUCUUAAAAAUCUUAAGUGUUUGGGAAAUACUAACUACUAUGAUUUCGAAGUUAAGUUGAUUUGAAUGAUGAAAAAUCGAUAAUAUUUUUACUAUUUUUGUCAAAAUAAUUAUUUAAAAGUAAACAUUACUACACACUAUUAAUUUUUAUUUCAUAGCUAUAGUUGUUUUCUACAAUAGCUGUGGUUUAAAAGCUGUGACACCUUAAUGCUAAACAAGGCUAAAACUAAGUGAAUUUUUCUUUAAAGAAAAAGGAGAGAAGAAAUAUUUGUUACUCUGUAGGGCUAUCUCUGAAGCAAGUUUAGACCAUCAAUAUCUUUGUUAGGCUAGGGUUCGAGUUGUUGCACAAGGUUGGGUUUGGUUUUGGGUUUCAAGUAUAACAAAUUUUAUCCUGAUUGGAUAAGCAUCUUUCUGUUUAAUGAACUACAGUCAAGGAGGUUCAACUUGCUAAUGUGUCUUUUCAUCUUUAACCUUAAGCAGAAAGUGAGCGUGCCUUGGUUGUAGCUCUUUUUUGGCAGUUUUCUUACAUAGUAUUUCACAUUUACUUUACUCUCAAGUUUGAUUAUUAAUAUUAUCUAUUAUUUAUUUAUUUUUUAAAGGAUGCAGCUAAAGUGAUAAAAGGCAUGAUCCAGAAAAAUCCUGAAUCACUGAACUUCAAUGUAAUUGCCUUUUCGAAGAAAGCUUGAGGUGCAUUUUAAUGUUGAGAAUCUGAGCUUAUUAAGUUCCUGCAAAUGAUAAAGCUUCUUACUGCGGUUUUCAGUUUGUGCACAUCCACAUAUGCUGCAAACAAACUAGUUCAGUGAUGGUUGUAGGUCGACUUAGGUGGCUUUACUUUCAGAUGGUACAGCAUGUUAAUUCUGGUUGCUAUGUUUCAGUUUUAGAGCAGAUUCAUUUUACACCUUGGGAGUGCCAGCAUGACUCUUAGCCCUACAAUGCAUGUUAUGCUACAUUUCCUGCUGAUGUUAAAUUUAAAUGGGUGAACAAAUUUGGAUUUGGAAACAAGGCUUAUCCUUUUCUCUACCGAUUAAAACAUCACCAAGAUUAUUAAGACCUCGUUUGGUAUUGAGUGAGGUGGUUAACAGUUAUAGUUUAUGUGAGGGAAAAAGAAGAAAAAGAAAAAACAAAAGCAUAUAGCUAUGAAGAAAAAUUAAAAUUAAAAAUGUGGUAAAUAUAAUUUCUAAGUAGUAGUUUUGACAAAAAAAAUGGCGAAGAUAUAGGUUUUUUUAAUUUAGUUUUUAUACAUAGUAACAAGUGUUUAUAUUUAAGUUGCUGUAAUUUAAAGUGACAACCCUGAGAGUGCCCACCAUAAUAAAACAAGGCUAUUAAAAAAAAAUAAAAAAAUAAAAAAUCUUUUGAGCCGGAUUAUUUUCCAAUAGGGCAAAGCUGGUUUCUUCUUUCUUCUCCUUGUCACAUACACUCUGUUAGUACGGUAUCUAGUUAGUCGAUUUUUUUUUUUUUGAAGAGACAUUUUGUGGAUGAUAUAAGUGAUUCUCAUGCAAGGAUAACUGGAGUUUAGUUUUUAUAUAUAAAAGAAAUCAAAGUUAUGAAACAGCAAAACAAAGGCCUAAAUAAAUAUGGUGGUAAUCCGUGAGUUGUUUGGCAAGAGGGUGAGCGAAUCGGCUUCUAACUUCUUCCUAGUCUACUUGAGCGUCUCACCUAUCUCUGUAUUGUUGCAAUCGCGCUCAACAAGCUUAUUUGCGAGUUUCAAGAGCUUGAUUUCAAUAUUGAGCUUCGGUUCGAUCUCAACCAUCCUCUUACCAGGCUUCCUGUUCACUCCAACCUUGGUAUCUUUCUUUGGCUCCACAGCAAGCUUGUUGGCCUGCAUGUUUUGGUAUCCAUUAGUCUCUGAAACUCUUCUUGCCCUUCGACUUUGCAAUCCCAUGGCCGUGCAUCCAAAGAAAGAAAAAAAAAUUAGUAUUCUGUUAACUUUUUAUAUCUAGAUGGGACAUGACAUUAUGAAAACAUUAGGACGAGGUAAUAAACGUUGAUUUCUACUAGAGGGAAAGUGACAAUCUAGGUAAAUAAUUAAAAUUAUGUAUUCUCACUUUUCAUUUCUUUUAUUUUUUUUUUCCAGCUGAAAAUUGCUUUGAGGUUAAACAUCAAGUGAUUUUAAAAUGAAACUUCCAUUUUUUAUUAUAGCCUUUUUUUCUUUUUUGAAAUUCUAUCAAUAUAUAGAACUUAAACAAGCUAAUAACAAUCCCCCAACUGGUUUAGGAUACAGAGCAAAUGUACCAUAAACGUUUACAAAUAAAAUUAUAGUAAAAUGCACUUGCUAGUUACUAGUGGCUUCAGCUUUCAGUUAACUGCAGUGAAUGAAGUGGGGGCAUUGGGGGACUAGGAACUUCCAGAUAACCUUCUAACAUUUUCACGAUCAUCUUCGUUGUAGGCCUUUUUAGUGGAUCUUCUUGAACGCACCACAGUGCUGUCAUCAACCAUUUACACACCCUUGAUUUGUCAGCCAUAGCUGCUUUAUCAUUGUCAACCAAAACAUCUAGUCUUCCUUCAACAUAGCAGUCAUAAGCCCAAUCUGUUAGUAUUGCACUUCUUUCUUCCUCCAGUUCCAUCUCCACACUUCUCCUACAGCAAAUGAUUUCCAAUAACACAACACCAAAACUGUAAACAUCCACUUUGGCCGAGACAGGUACAUUCUUGAACCAUUCUGGAGCCACAUAUCCUCGAGUUCCUCUGAUCACGGUGCGUGUUCGAGACUGAUCAGAGAGUAACAGCUUGGAUAAUCCGAAAUCAGAAAUUUUUGCAGUGAAAUCUUGGUCUAGAAGUAUGUUUUGAGGCUUUAUGUCACAGUGGAUGAUGGGAACAUUGCACUCUUCGUGCAAGUACAGAAGCCCUCUUGCAAUCUCCAGGGAAAUCCUGACUCUUAGACUCCAGUCAGGUCUUGGACUUGCAAAAAGUAGGUUAGCCAAGGUGCCAAUCCCCAUAAAUUCAUAUACUAAAAGCCGGUUAAGACCUUCGUCACAGAAUCCAAGUAGCUGGACAAGAUUCUUGUGAUGUGUUCUGCCGAUUGCACUCACUUCAGUUUUGAAUUCCCUUUCCCUUUCUUGUGCCAACUUGUCCAAUUUCUUGACUGCUACAACAUUUCCUGAAGCGGAUUUGAGGACACCUUUGUAAACUAUGCCAAAAGAACCCCUCCCUAGUUCGUCCUCGAACCCAUUUGUUGCUUCAUUGAGUUCAGCGAGCGAAAAGAAACGCAAAUUUGUUUCGGAAAUACUUGAACGUUGGACCUUGUUUCCAUCUUUUCUCUUGCGCCACACAAAGACGAGAAGAGAUAUUGCCAGUAGCAAAAGUCCAUUGAAGAAUACAGAGCUACCUAAUAGAAGUGCUCCUAGUAAGAUUGGUAUUCCUUUCUUGCCACAAGUAUUGCCAUCAAAAUCAACAGGAAAACCUCCUUUCCUUUCUUUGAUGAGAGCUUUUGUAAAUCCUGUUCCUGCAUUGUCAUAGGCCCCAAGGGAAAGGGGGAAUCUCUUCUUCCAACAUUGUCUAGCAUUAUUAUAUAUGGCAACAGCACACAAGCAAUCAUGCAAGCAAGAUGUUUCACACUCUGUUUGAUCAUAAGGUUCCAACCUUUCAUAAUCUCCAAAAGGCCAAUUUACAUUAGCGAGUUCCCUCAUUUCAUACAACUCUUCUGCAUUUCUAGAUCCAUCAUCUGGUCCACAGCCUUGCGAGUAAUUUGGCUUGCAACCACUAAAUCUGUUACUUGGAUCCACAAAUAAAUACCCUGGAGGGCAUUCACAAAAAGGUCUCCCAUUUUGAAGUAAGCAGUAGCUAUUGAAGCCACAGGCACCACUACCGAACUCAUCAGAUAUAGCAGUGCAAAUGUUGUUAGGAAGACGACGUGUAGUAAACCAGCUUUGGUUAGGAGCAGAAUUCUUUGGAUAAGCAUAUUCUGUGAAUACUCCAUCAAAAUCCAAUGUUGCUCGAAAAUAGUGGUCCGCAAUAGGAGAUAGUCUAUUCCAUUGUGGCAAUUGAACAAUUUGACCAUUAUUUUUUUUUAUGUAUAUGUCAGCUGACUCAUUAAAAACCAGCUGAUGACCAGACUCAGAAGAAUUAGCGCUGUAAGUAUCACUGGUAUAAUAACUUUUGUAUUGGAAUGGGGUUGGCCAGGCCACAGGAAUGAGCUGAAGACUUCCACUUGAAAAAUGGAGCUCAAAUCUGCCUUUGGAGAAGUUGGUUUCUGUAAGCCUGGAAACCAACACGCUACCCAAAUCUAAUAUUUGGGUAGGCAAGAUGGUGUCUGUUGGACUUUUAAAACUCUGCCAAGCGUAAUCGGAAUUGUUACCAGAGGCUAUAAGCACAAAAUUACCUGUAUCAAGCAUGGCAGCAUCUGAUACAAUUUUGUUGGGCUUUUCAUCCCAUAUUGCUUGGCCUCCAGGAUCUUUAAGCUGAAGGCCGGUGGCAGUAAGUUCAAGUGUUGAUCCUCUGGGAGCUAGGACUGGGUGGUUGUCUUCAUUGGCGUGCCAAAUGAUGGUUCUUUCAGGUAUUUUGUUGAACCAAAGGGCAAGCAAGAAAAGAUCCGAACUGUUGUUUAGUUGGCGAAAUCCGAAAGCAAAAUCCCUUGAAGGUGAAAUCCAUGAAGAGUUGUUGCUGGUGCUUGAUAGAGUUGAACCCAAAGGUAUGUUGGCAGCGGAUAAAAAUGGUAGCAGUGGAAGAGAAAGCAAGAUAAGACGAGAGAGAGCCAAAGAAUCCAUGGCAGGUCGUUAUUGCAAUUGCAAAGAAGGGUUGCAUUUACUAUAAGAAGAUGGUGCUUUGUUAUUAGUCAAUUACACGCACUUUAAGCCACUAAGCUUUAGCCGAAUUCAUGCCACACAAUUGUAAAGUCAUGGGUUCGAAUCCUGUUUAAUUUUCUUCUCAAUUUCAGUGAAAACAAUCUUUUCUUUUUUUAAAUUUAAGUGAAGUAAAUGCUUCUCGAAUAUUAGAGAAGAUAAAAAUUUAGAUAGUUUUCAUAAGAAUUGAUAUAAACUAACCUUAUAAAUAAUUUGAUUUAUAAAUAUAAGUUGUAAUCUCAUAUAAUAUGAGUUGUACUCUUGAGUAAUAAUUUCAUAUAAUAAAAAAAAAGUAAUGAUAUAGCCACAAACUCUUGUACAAAUUUAUUUUGUACAAACUGAUGUAGCAUGAUAAGAUUGGUUGAAUUAAAUAUCACUUAGCCCACAUGAUUUGUUUUAAUUAUUUUAUAUUUUUAUUCAGUUAAUGAAUUAAUGACACAUCAAUUUAUACAAAAUACGUUUAUACAAGAGUUUGUAACUGUAUCAUCACUCUAAAAAAAAUUACAUACACUUUGUUUGAUAUUUACAAUUGAAGAAUGUGGUUCACUUGAGUCACUUCGUGGAACAGUUAAUUCGUGAAACAACGUAAUCAUGUUUGUUUCGGGGAAUUGCUCAUUAUACGUACACGAAUGAAACACGUAAAAUUUUUCAUUUCAUAGUCUUCUUGCAGGAAAUUUGAUGGAACUAUCAAAGUCAAUGGUCAUGAAUGGCUGCCCCCUCUCUACAUGAUGGCUAAAUCAAUUAGUGUAGAUAUCACAGCAUUAAUUCAGUUCGAUUCCAAAUCCCCAAUUAGUUCUAAAUUAAUUUUUAGAUUGUUUUUGAGAGAUCUAAAAGAGAUUUAAAAAUUUUAAAAGUUAAUUUUAGUAUUUUAUAAUAUGUUUUUGAAAUUACCUUUGAUAAGAUCACCUCAUCCUAUAGUAAAUUUGGAGAAGUAGUUCUAUAUAUUAUAAAAAUUUAAAAUUAUUCUUAUUAAUUAAAAAAUAAAAUUAUUAAUUUUAAAGAGAUUAUUAUUAUUAUAAACUGAGGUAAAAAAAUAAAUUACUAAUAUAAACUAUUUACUUUAAUUUUUAAUUAUUAUAGAUUAACAAUACAAAAUAUUUUUUAUAUAUAUUUAAAAAUAUAUAAAUAAAUUUUAUUCAACAUAAUGUCUAGUUUAUUUAUUUAUAUUCUCACAAUAAUUUAACUAUAAGAUUUAUUAAAAUACUUUUAAAAUCCACAAUACUUUUAAAAAUAAAUUUUAUCAAAUAUUUAAUUAAUCUCUUAAUAAUAGAUUAUUUUUACAGCACUAUUAAAAAUAAUUAUUUCAAAAGUUACAAUAUCACCAGUUUAAAAAAGAGUCGGACUAUUAACACUCCUCCAAAAUCCUAUUCAAACCCCUUUUUCAAUUAUAUUCCAUUUAAUGCCAGAAAUACCCUUUUUUUCUAAAUGAACACUCUUUUCAUUUAUGAAUUUUUCAGUUUAUAAUAUUUUUCUUACUCUUUAGUCUUAAUAUUUGUAUUCCUCUCUUCAAACUUUCUCUAUUAAUUAAUUUUUAAAGAAAAAAUCUAUAAAAAAAAGAGAAAACAUUAUAAUUAGAAAAUAAUGAAACUUUAUGUGUCUAAUACAAUUUUAUUCCACCUAUAAAAUUUUCAUUUAGCAAUUAAUUUGAGAAUUCUUAAAAAAAUUAUUUGCAAUUGGAUAAAAUUUUAUUUAGCUUGUUUUUCCACUGUAUUGUAUCUUAAUUAAGUUGUUAUGUUUAUUACAAGAAUUUUGUUUUGACUUAGAGGAUUACUUCUUAAAUUCAUAUUAUUUUAAUGAUAAUAAAAGAUAUUUAUAUUGUGCAAGCAAAAUAAAAGAAGAGAAAAAGAAAAUAUAAAUGGCUUAAUUCUAUUUAUAGUUGUCCUUAAAUAUAAUUAUAAUAUAACAUGGGUUUUAUAAAUUUAAUGAAGGGGUGCCAAUAGUCCAACUCUUUAAAAAAAAAAAAAUCACAAUAUCACCAAACUGCUCCAAAAGUCUUCGUACACAUCCCGACGGCUUUUUUUGGGGGGAAAAAAUAAUUGGGCAUAUGCGGGUCCCACAUGCACAAAUCAAAAAAGAAAGUUGGCCUUUUGGAUUCACGGCCUCUUGAUUUUUCAGUCGGAAACCAGAUCGAUUGCCAACCAAGAUUCAUUUACAUGUUUAUAGAAUCAGAUUAUUAUUAUUAUUCAGACCCAAAAAAAAAAAAUUUAUUAUUAUUAUUAUUAUUAUUUUGGCAAUAAACUUUUCUUCAGAGCCCACCCCCAGGAAAAAAAAAAAAAGUUAGCUUUGAUGCAUAUUCAAUACGCAUCCUGAUAAUGUUUUAGAUGCAACUACAAUCUUACUAGUUUAAAGUUGUCUAGAUGAAGCACCUUGAACAAUGCUAUAUUCAGAGCAGGAUUUCAGAGGAAUAAACGAUUGAGCAUCGAUGACACAGCUCCUCCCUGAAAAUGUUAAGUUUUGUGUGCAGCUUUUGUUACUUUCUUUGAUUCUUUCGCAAUAGCAUAAGUGGCCAGCAGCCAAGAAACUCCUUCAUCAGAUGCUCUAAUGACUAACAUCAUCAUUUUACAAAACCGAAAUCACCCGGAUGGCUUAUGAACUUAGGGUGCGUUUGGGAUUGAGGUUGCACUAAAAUAUUUGGUAAACACUAACUGCUGUAGCUUAGAAGUUAUGUUAAUAUAUUUUUUCACUUGUAUCAUGAAAAAUCUUUUAUAUCUUUAAUAAUUUUAUUAAAAUUAUUAUUUAAAAUUUAUAUUUACUACAUAUUACUAAUUUUUAUUUCAUAAUUGUAGCUUUUUUUUUCUACAGCAACUACAGUUUAAAAGUUACAGUAUCUCAAUCUCAAGCACACCCUUAACCUACCUCUCGAAACCGGCCAUGCUGCCCAGCACCUUGACAGAAAGAAUAACUUCACAUCCAUCAAUUAAAACAAGCUUCUUAAUUUGGUAAUGGGUAAAUAUAAUACCAGAUACACAAGGCAGAGAAGUCGGCGACCUUCAUAAUUUCGCAAGCUUUGUCUCGAAAAGUUGUCCUUUCUUUAUUGAAACCGUAGACGACUAUCGUCUUUAUUCUUAUUAUUUAUAUGACGUGUCGCCUUAGUUCUCUCCUACAGACGUCCUGUCGUCAAAUCUAUGGACCGACAUCAUCAUCGUUACGACGAUUCGUCUGAUUGAUUUUAAAAUAGACGUCUUGUCGUCUAUCCCCUCUGUUCACCUAAUGUUAAAAUUUCAUCUAUUUAAAAUUUUUAUCAUUUGUACACUGUGUUUUUAUUUUAAUUAAUUAAUUACAAGGAAAAUUUUUAAUUACACAUUGUUUUAUCUUCGGCUGCCUCUCAAAGAAAAGUGUGCUUGUCAUCAAAGAUAAUGCAAAAUGUUAAGGAAGCUCACUGUACAAAGUAAAAGAAGGAGAAGCUAAAGCUGAGAAAGAUUAAAAAGUCUAUGAUGUCACAUGAUAGUAGGCAAAGUGACAGCUCAACUGCCAGCUCAGCAUAAAUUGUUGAAUUUGUUACAAUUCAUUAUGUACACUUAAGUACUGUUUAUUUUUUAGUCUGAAAUUUUAAGCCAAGAUGAGAUAAUGUUAUUGGAACAAUUUCGAUGGCUUUAUUCAUAAAACUUUUGUGUUGCAUAUAUUUGGAAAAGUGCUUCUGUCGACAAUGAAUGAAAAGCUAGGUCUACAAGAACGCAUGCAAGAGAAUCUUAUCAUAUCAUAAACGGAGUAAGAUAAUAACUUGGUGUCGGUUAAAAUUAAUAUAAAAACGAAAGCCAUAAGCACUUUGAAUUAGUGGAAAAUAGACAUUGGACCUAAAAGAUUUUGCUUGAGAAUCAAGGCAAGCACUCACUCGCAAAUCGCAAUGAUGUUUUCUUCCAAUAAAAUUCUUAUGAUAUCACCAAUUCAAUCGGAUUUCAAAAUUCUAAGCCAAAAUGUUUAUAAAACAAAAAAUAAAAAAUAAAAGGGCACUUCCACCAAUCAAAGUGAAAAUGCACUUAAUUAUUUUUUAUAUAUACAAUCAUAUAUAGGUGGCCUUGUGUUUAAUUAACUAUGGAUUAUCAAGCUUUCACGAUCAGUGUCAUCACAUCAUUAUUUAUGUAUUUUGUUCACCUCAAGUUCCAGGAAGGAUCUUACAAAUGAAAUCAAGAGAGAAUCUUGCUGACAAUCCCCUUCACACUUUUUUUCCUCCCUUUCAUUAAUUAGAGGAAAGGGUCCCUUUCGCAAUUCCAUUAACACUUUUAAUUUUCUUUUUAUAUAUAUAUCAAAUAUAAGGAAAGAAAACCUAUAAAUUUAGGUCUCUAACUCUUAUUAAAGUUACCAAAUCACUUUUACAGUAUUGGGUAUUGACUAUGAAUAUCAUACUAUGUAAUUAUACAAUAAUAUUAGAGAUGUAAUAUUUGAGUCAUAACUUAGAUCUCAAAUACUGUGCAUCACUUAUCUACUUGAUGAUGGGUCUUAAAGUUUGUAAAAUUAUAUAACUACCAUCUAAUAGAUGAAUGUCAUGUUAAUCGAGACUUAAACUGAAACUUGGAUGUUGGAAUGUCCCGCAUUACUUGUAACAAUAUUAUAGUGUACUUCAAUUAUUUCAAUAGAAAUUUACUAAUUAUCUGAUUAGAGACCUAUUUAAUACACAUUGACAACCUAUGUCCUUAUAGAUAUUUCAUAAAAAUUUGGGGAUCCAACUCUUAUUACCCUAAAAAGAUUUAAACAAUAAUUUUCAUUAUUUUAUUUUAUUUCUUUUUCAUGAAUUGACCAUUCCAUCAAUAAAAUCAUGGGCCAUAUAUGAGAAUUUGUUCUCCUUUUUUUAAUGGAUCAAAAAUUCAAGUGUUAAAAUUGACCAUCACCCAAUCUUUGUUUGAGUUUACUGUUUGAAGAUAGUAAACCCAAACAAAAAUCUUGUCAUGUUGUUACGACCAAUUCUAAAUUUUACAGCUUCAACUUCAUUAAAAUACAUUUACUGAGAAAUGGCCCUGAAAUUUAGUAUUGAAAAGUCAAUUCAUGGAAAGAAAAGAAAAAAAGAACAUAUAUAACAACGACGGGCUUUUCUAAUUAUUUUUUAUUAUGGCCCCACUAUGGACCUCUUCAAUUUAUAGAGUUUAUGCUAUAACAUACUUAAGUUUAUAAUUUAGUUAUUUGUAGCUCCAUCGAAUCAAAAUCUCAAUUGUACCAUUCAGCUCAAUGGUGGUUCAAAUUUGAUGGGGACCAUGAUGGUGAAAUUAUAAAUUUGAGUAGUCUAAAAUAUAAAAUUUGUAAAAUUGAGGAGACCAACGUUGGGGCCAUAAUGGAGAAACAAUAAAUGUUUUGUAUGCUAUAACCGAAAUAUGUAAAAUUAGGGAGCCAAGAGCCAACAUGCAACAUAGUACAUGUAAGUGAGUGAAAUUUCAACCACGUCCUGUAUCUCUCCCCUGCUUGUGCUAUUACUUCCGGGAUAGGUGGCCUAUUACUAUUGGCGAACUAUUCUUUUCAAGGGUAAGUGGGGAUACUGCUUUCAAACAGUAAUAUUAUUAUUAUUUAUUUCAAUUCCAACGCCUAUAAAGUCAAAUUAUUUUUUACUUUCUACUUCACACUAUUACCAAUAUUUAGAAUUCUACACCUACUAAAGAAAAAAUUGAAACCCACACCAUUCUUCAAACCUAAUUUUCUUGAAAUAUCUACAGAUAGCAGCCUACUCCAAAUAGUUGGGUAAAUGCUUCUUUCUCAGGUAGUGGAGGUGUGAAAAUAAAAGGGUUUUAUUAGUCGGAGAUUAAGACAAAAUGGAAGAAAAACUAAGAUAAUACUUUGGCUACAUAAUAAGAGUUGUUGAGAUAUAUAUUGAUUUGGACACAAAAUUUAGGUGAAGAAAAUUUGGAAAAUAAUUCACAAGCUAAACUUUUUGACUCAAAGUUUCACUUUUUUGCACUAAACUAUUAAUUCUUCAAAUAUUUUUUCAAAGUUUGAAUAUUCUAACCCUCUCAACAUUUUACACAAGAAGAAUUGAUUAUGAAUCUUAAAUUGAUAUCAUGCGGAGGAUUCUGAAGUUAUUUAGUAAAUCCAAUCAUGUUAGAUACCUAUUCAACAUAAGAAGUUGAAGAAGUUGAAGUUUGAAAUUAAUCUUCAUACUGUUAAGGUAGAAAAUUCAUGUGACUCAACAAGAGAAUGCGCAAAAGAGUUUCGUGAUUAAUGCAUUAUUCAUAAACUUUGUCAUUUACACCAGCUGAAGUUAUUUGAAUAAAGAAAGUUGAAUUUUUUUUUUAAUAUGAGUUUUUAUUCAAUAAAUAAGCAUCGCCAGAUACGUAUGACAAUUUUAUUCUCUUCUCAUAUAUAAGUUAGCAUACUUUUCUAAAUGCAAUAUUGUUAAACAUUUGAUAAUACAUAAGUUAACUAUAUAAUGUGUCAAUCGUUUAACAUAGUUCAAGUAGUUGCUUAUUUCUAAAAUACAAGUUUAUAUAUAAAUCUAAUAGAAACAAGUUAUAAUUAAAGGCCAAAGCUCAUUACAUGAAGCCCAUCCAAAAAUAAAUAAACAAACUCCAACAUUCAUAUGAGAUAAAUCAAAUACUCUACCCUAAGGUUAAGGAAAAGAAAUAUCAGCUAACUCAACAGCAGAAUUGCUGACUUCUAAAUUACAACUUAAAUAUUGAAAAUAUAUUAAUUCGUAUUACGUAUCUAAGCCCUAGCUAAGCUAUGUUUACAUGCAAGUGUGAACUGAAAAUUUUCCCAAAACCUUGAACCAUGAGAAAAAAGGCUUCGGCAAAAUGAUUACAUAUUUCUACUUUUCGGUGGGUGACUUUCUAGCAAACUUAUAUUUCUUUUAUCUACCAAUAUUAUAAAAUUCUUAUUGUUGAAGCUUGAGUUGAGUCUUCACUCAUGUCGUGCUUCUAUAUUGGGGAGGGUAUGGACCACGCCAAAUAUAUCCAAAACUGGGUAAAUAUUAUUUAGAAGACAAAAAGUUGCCUAAAUUCCACCGAUUUGGGGCCCUUUGCUUUGAAUUUCAUGCCUUAAUGUUGUUUCAAUACAUUUGAAAUUCUAGUUGCUUCCUUCCCUCCUUUUUUUUUUUUUUUUUUUUUUUACCAACCGAAAGAGAUUCAUUCUCUUUUCUACUCCAACGGUCGAAAGCAUGCCCUCAUGUGGGUUCACAAAUCUCACAUCCAAAGGUCAUCAUAUCACCAAAUAAAUUUUGUUGAAGAUCUCAGCCGUUGAGUUAAUUCCAAUGUUUUGACCAUAAAUGUUUGACCAUAACUAUACCUAAUUGAAUUGUCUUAAACGCGGGUUAUUCAAAUAUACUUUAUUCUUUUUUAAUAUAAUGAUUGCUUCACCUAAUUUACCUGCCUACAUCAUACUUCUUGGUUUCUCUAUAGGCAGCAAGCAAUGCAAUUGUUUUAAUAAAUUCCCCGAUUUACACCCUUUGAACUUGAUUGCGGAUGAACUGAUUAGAUGUUUACAUGUGGAUUUGAAAUUAUGAUAAAAAUUAAUUUAUAUUAUAUAUAUAUAUAUAUUAUGAUCCCAUGUGCAUUUUGGCUCCAAGAUUAAACAAAUGUGGCUUUUGGGUGCUUUUAUUUUUUUUAAUAUGCCUCUAUAAUAAAGUUCUUGGUGUUGCUGACUUUAGCAUAAACAAUUAAAUAAUUUGUUAAAUUAGCUCUCGACCAACAUUACAUUGUUAAAUUUAAUACGAGGAACAUGUUUCAUUUUUUAUAAAUGUUAUAUUUAUCACUUACACCCCUAUUAGAUUUUUAAUUUCUUAUUUUAUCUAUUAUGUUAAUAGAUAAUAGAAUUAAUUGUUAAGAUAAGAAAAAAAAUCAUUUAAGGCGUAAUUCUUUAAAAUUUAAUUUAAAAUCUGACGCAUGCCAUUGGAAUUCAAAAAAAAUUGAUAAUUACAUAGGAUUAAUUCUUUUCAUCUUCUCUUUAAUUGUGACACCAAACUAUUUAGAAAUGUUAUAAAAUCAUCUAAGAAGGGGUAAAAUACAAAUGAAUAAAAAAACUAUUAACAUUCUAUGUUACCUCUUAACAGAAUGAAUGAAGUAAUUAAAAUCUAAUACAUAUAUAAGCUUUAAAUAUAAAAAUCUAUUAAAAAUAAAAUAUGCAUUCUCCCUUUAAUAUAAAUCUACGCCAUAAAUUUUAUAUGAAAAGAGUUUAGAUCUUCUAUCUAAUUAUGUACUGAAUUUAACAUUAUAUUUUUCAUGGAUACCAAGAGACUUUAGCGGUUAAUUGACAAAAUUUUCCAACUUGAAAAAUGAGUUGUUGUAUAUUUUUUUUCGUGGAUUGUGGAGCUUGAAUCCAUGUUGUUGGAGAACAUUUGAUUGACUAAGUGCUAGUAGACCCCAUAUAUAAUUGACUGAAAAACAAUAAUAAUUGGUCCCAUUUUGUCAAAGAUAUUGGCAUUAAGGAGCUGAUUAUGCGUAGUUAGUUAUGCACCCACAUUAGCUUUUCCAUCAUAUGCUCUUUAAAAUAAAAUUAAUUAUGGUUAUAUAUCUUGAUUCUUUCAUUUCUCUUUUCUUCCUUACCUUGUUUACUUUUAAUGUUGAAAAUGUGGAUCAUCAGUGAAGCAUGAGAAUUGAGAAUGCAUGCCCCAAAAUAAAAGUACUUUAUAAUCAAAUACAUAAAGCACAGCAUGAGCCAUGAUUAAUUGGUUAUCAAAAACCGGAGAAACAAAAAGUUGAAACUAAGAAAAGCAUAAUAAACGGAGCGUUUGAUGCAUGGUUCAUUUUCUUGCUAUAAAGUCUUAAAACUAAAUAAAUAAAUGCGAAAAUGAGGGUUAUCCCCUAUUAUUUGAAGAAAUUGAACAAAAUACCCUCUUGUUUUAAAAUAAGUUCAAGCCCCCAUGUAGUUAUAAUGAUAUUGGUUUUAUAUAUUAUGUUAUUACUCUACCCCUAGUCUUAAUGUUAGUCAUAAAAUUUAAAUUUUUUGAUGAUUUUUUUAAAACAAAAUAACUUAUAUACCCUUAAUGAGUAAAUUAAUUUAAUAAUAAAUUUUGUAAGUUAUAGAGAAAAAUUACUAGUAGGAAAAAUUUCAUAGAUAUCCUUAAUAGUUGUAUAAACUGGCUUUCCAAAAUAUAUGCUAAGUGUAUGAAAUCUAAGAUUCUAAAUAUACUUCUCAAAACAUAAAAAAGAAAACAAUUGAAGAACAUAUUCAAAUACAUAUACAAAUAAAGGCUGAAUAAAUAAUUAGACUAAACACAAUAAACUCAUCAACAAUUCACUGCAAAUGAAUAAUAUACAAUAAAUUAAAGAGAGAAAACAAAUCAUUAUAUGAAUUAUGAAAGGGGUAUAUCAACCACGGAAAAAAUAAUAAAUCACACACCUUUAUUACUGUUUGAUAAGAAAUAAUUAAUUCAGAUUGCUCAAUUAGCAUAAGCAAGUAAGCACGCAACAAUAUCAAUGGUGGUAAACAACAAAGGUGUUUGGUAUGAUCCAAUCUAUGCUUUUCCAACGAAACAACUAGUUGUGUGCCAUAUUAAGAAACAUAUAAAAUACAUUAAAUUUGUGAUAUUCAUUUAGAUGAAUACUUUAUACAAUUACUAGGGGUAUUUAUGAUAUUUUUCCCUACUUGUGAUUUUUCACCGUACUUUGCAAUUUGUUAUUAAAUUAAUUUAAUCAUUAAUGGUAUAUAAGGCAUUUUGCUAAAAAAAAUAUUCUCAAAAUAUUUAAAUUUUAUGGUUAACAUUAAAACUAGGGGCAGAAUAGUACAAAUAUAAGAUUAACAUUAUAACUGCAAAGAGAUGUGGAUCUAUUUUAAAACAUGAAGUGCAUUUUGCUUAAUUUCUUUAAACAAUUGGGGGUAAUCCUCAUUUCCUAAUAAAUAAAUAGAUAAAAUGAAAUAACAUGAUUUUACUAGGAGAUAUAUAUCAAACUAAAAUUAGUUUAAUUAUUUGUAGAAAUAAACAUGUAUCAUCUCGUAGCCAAAUACUCACACAAAAUAUUGUUGUAUGAAACAAAAUAAUUCAGACUAAAAAGUUAGAUUAUCAUUAGUAGUGGCAGACCCCGACACUCAAAUUAAGGGGACUAAUUCAAAAAUUUUAAAUUAUAUUUCGGGUACUUAAUUCUUUUUACUGUUUACUUAAAUACAUUUAAAGUCUCAACAGCUCAAAUUCUAUUAUUUGUUUUAAAUUUUUGUAAAAAAAGUAAUAAAUUAUUCAUUUUAAAUGUUGAGCUCAUUGUGGCCAUAUUUAUGAAAAUAUCCUUUUAGUAAGUAAUCUCCAACAAAAUAUCUUAAAAAUAAAAUUAUAUGGCUAUUAGGAUUUGAAGUAAGUCACUAAAACCACUAAAUAAUAAUAUUAUUGGUAAAUUACAAAUAUUUUAUCCUUUUUUUUUUAAUUUAACUCUUAAGGGGCUUUGACCACAUUUAAAACAAAAAAUAAUAGUCCAUAGGGGAUUGAAGCCUCUCUUGAGCCUUAAGUUUUAUUUACUUUUAUAUAAUAAUAUGGUUUUUAUUUUAUUUUCAAGUAUGUUCCUAAUUCAAUUAUUAUUUUUUUUUAUCAAUUAGAGUUAGUGACUUAUUUUUAAAAUGAUUAAAUUAUAUAUUUAUUGAAUAAAUUGAAAUUACUAGGGCUAAAAUAUUGUUAUUGCUUCAACUUAUUAUAACAUUAUCACUAGUAUUAGAAAGUUAAAAAGAAAAAAAAAAUAACACAUGGUAGCAAUUAAAAUUUUCACAAUAUCGUGGUUAAAUUUUUUUAUAAUUAUAAUUGCUCAUUUUCUUUCCAUUAUAUCAAAAAUUAAAAAGGAUUUCAAAAAUAGAUUUUUAUGGUACAAUUUUAAUAAUUUAUGGAGAAAAGCAUACCUAUACUCUCAAGGUUUCAGAAAAUACUUCCAAAGAUUGGAAAAAUAGUCAUGUAGAUCCCCCAAGUUUUCAGUAAGAGACACUAAGAUUCUCUUAAACUAUAAUACCCCUUGUAUAUAGUAACUAAAAAAUUUGAAUUAAGUACAAAUAUAAUUUAAAUAGUUUAAUUAGUCUAGUAGACUAAUAAUAUUAUUUAAUAUAUAAAGUAAUUUUUAAAAUAUAAAAUAUUAUAUUUGUUUUCAUAAUAUAUUUGUAUUUAUUAUAAAAAAUUUAAAUAAAAGUUUGGUUUAAAUAGAUUUUACUAUUAAUGAAAUAUAUCUCAUGUUUUAAUAAUAUAAAAAUUGUUUUAUACAAUAUUACAAAUAAUUUUAAAUUUUAAUAUAUUUAUUUAAAUAUCAGGUUUUUAUUUAAUACAAAAUUUAGUUUAAUAUAAUAUAAGAAUGUAAAGUACAAAAAUAUUUAAAUUAUUUUAAAAUGUACAUAUUGUUAUAUUUAUUUUAAUAUUAUAUUUAUAUUUAUUAUAAAACAUUAAAAUUAAGCUUUUGAGUUAAUAGAGGCGAAUCAUAUUAUAAUUAAAAGGAGGUCUCAGUAUCCCUUAUAAAAAAUUUGAAAGUCUACCUUAUUAUUUUUUUAUACCUUAAGGACAUAAGCAUCUUUUUACCUAAUUUAUAUUAUAAAUUUGUUUGUUGUAUCAUUGUCAAUAUAUAUAUCCCCAUAUCUUACAAUUAAUGUAAGAUACACCUAGGGAUGGCAAUUGUACCCGCAAACCCGCAAACUCGCCCAAACCCACCCGCCAAAACCCGCCCGUUGCGGGUAAUUUUACCCAUUGCGGGCGGGUUUAGUAUUAUAAAUUAAAACCCGCAUAUGGAUGCGGGUGGGUUUGGUAGUAACCUUAUAUCCGGUGGAUACCCGCAUGGAUAUCCACCAAACCCGCAAUAUUUUUUCCAAAUAUUUUUAAUUUAAUUUUAAUCUAAAAAUGUAUAAAGAAAAUAAUAUCAUUAAUCAAAUUACCAAAUAGCCAAAGGUUCAAAGUUGUGUAUGUGUAUAUGUGGCCCAUCUCCUAUUCUAAAGUCAUAAACUAAAGAAAACUAAAGGUAUUUACCUUCGAAUUAGUAUUUGAAAAUAUUAAUCUUAAUUAUUAUUAUAGGCAUUGUGUUGGAUGGGUGCUUAUGGUGGUGAAUGAAAUGAAUAUCUCUCUUGGAGCUUGUUUUAAAUGAUAAUAUGAAAUGUAAUUAUUAUUUUUAGGUACUAGUUUGUGUUUUUUAAAUAGAUUUGUGUAAUUUAUACUUAAAUUUGAGAAUUUGUGUUGAAUUGAUGUGGAAAUUUUAAUUUUUCAUUUACAUUGUUUAAAUAUAAAAUUGAGUAUGUUAUAUGGAAUUUGAGGUUAUUAUUAUAAAUUUAUAUAUUAAACAUUUGUGAUUUCAAAUACGGAAACCCGCAAAAAAUCCGCCGGAUACCAUUGCGGGUUUGGUAAUUGUUAAAACCCGCUGCGGGUGGGUUUUUUUAAAAAAAUUAAAACCCGCUGCGGGUUGCGGGUGGGUUUGGUAAUUUAAAUUUUGUGCGGGUUUGGAUUUGGUAAUGGCAAACCCGUUGCGGGCGGUGCCCAUUGCCAUCCCUAGAUACACCCCUCACAUAAACAGUAUAUGAACCCCACAUAUACACUGUUUAUAUGAGGGGAUGUAUCUUACUUUAGUUGUAAGAUAGGGAUUGACAUAUGGAAAAUGAUGUUUGCCCCGGGUCAAACCCCGGGUCAAACCCCGAAACGACUCAAAACGGCGUCGUUUCAGUUCUUUUAUUUUUUGUCCUUAUUUGCUAUGAAAUGAUGUCGUUUUGGCUUACGUAAAGUGAAAAAAACAGAACCCUGCUUCUUCCUUCCUCUUCGUUCGCUUUGCUGCAGAGCCCUUAAUCACGCAAACAUCAGCGGCUUCAACUUGGACGAGUUUCGACAUUGUCCCUGGAAGAUUGAUUUUCAGCAUCGUCCUUGACAGAAGAUUGAUUCUUGCGUGUUGAUAACAUUGUUGAACGGCUUGUUAUAACUUAAAAAAACCAAAAUCGAUCGAAGAUCUGAGAAAAAAGGAGGUGGGGGGUUAGAUGUUUGAUUAUAGGCUUUUAUAUAUACAUAUGCGUGUAGCAGCAUACUUAUGAUUAUUCCCACACUGGAGCUGAUGCAUAUAUAUUUUAAUUUUAAAUAUAGAUCUUAAUUAAAUUAGUCAAAAGUAAUUGGAGUGACCAGUGAUCAAAUCCCAGGGAAAGUGGGCUAGAUUCCAGAUUCCAGGGCUUGGUAAAUGGUAAUGAUGCAGAGGCUGCUGCAACCAGAGUGUCAAGGAAGACAAUCUGCAGUUGGGUUGUGGUUGCGCAGCUGAGUUGCGGUUGUCUGGUGAAACGUGGCUGUCUUGUGAAAUGAGGAGAACGAAGACGAAGAAGCAGCUAAGUUCUGUAACUUCUGUUGGUGCUUUUGCGAUUUAUCCGAGCCAAACGUCGUCGUUCAUAGCAAAUGAAAACAAAAAAAAAAUUAAUAGAGCAAACGGCUGUCGUUUCAGCCAGUUUCGGGGUUUGACCCGGGAUUUGACCCGGGACAAAUAUCAGCGCUCUUGACAUAUACACACACUACCGAUCUGGUCCAGGAUUUUCUCAAUCUGCCGGCAGUUUUUGUUUACUAAUAUAUGGCAGGCCGCAGGCAAGUAGUAAUCCAAAAUAUCAAUUUCAAUCAGAUUUAUAGCUGCAAAAAGUUGACUACUUUUGUGUUGUUAUACUGACAUGCGCAUGUUCUUGCUUCUCUCAGAGUUGCGCGUGGCUACAUAUCUAUAAACCUAUUCAAAAUACGUUUGUUUUCGGCUUUGAUGUGAAAAUUUGGCGACGGCUACAUGUUUUUGGAAUGUGAAAUGCAGAAUUGUUAUUGUCAGCGACUCGACCUGUUGCGUGGAUCUUGGCUUGUAACGAUGGAUUGUCAAAUUUAUAACGCGAAUCUUUUGUCUGUAUUUGUGAUUGGGAUCAUACGGAGCUGCCAUUUCACAUGCAUAUAUGGCAAAUAAUCAAAAUCAUUAUGUGAUGUGUGUUCAUGAGGCAAGAGUAUGGUAUACACAUUAUAAUACUACAUACAUGCAUAUACAUAGCCACACACACAUAUACAUUUUAUAUAUGUAUACGUGUGUGUAAUAUUAAAAGUGUUCUAGUCAUCAAUCCCUAACUAUAUUAAAGUUAGUGAAAAAUAAAAAGACAAAAAAAAAAUACAAACUCUAAUACACUGUAUUUUUUGUCCUGUAAUAUAUUGAAAUUUAUAUUUUUUUAUCUUUUAAUUUAACUUUAACUUUAAUAUUGAUAUAUACAUAGUAACCUUUUUUAUGAGAGAUUAAGUAAGUGAUAAGCUAAAAGUCAAAAAAAAAAUAUUACAUGAUAAAAUAUACUGCAAUACAAUAAAAUGUAUGUUUUACAUGUCUUUUAGUUUAUCUCUUAUUUUAAUAACUUAAGUUUUGUGUGUGUGUGUGUAGUUAUGAAAGUCAUCAAUCUACCUUUUUUUCUCUUAUCUUUUGACCAAAUAUAGGGAUAAUUUGAUAUUUUUAAAAGUAAACUGGCAAUUUGAUGAUAAUUAAUUCAUGUGGGGAUAAUUUGAAAUUCACCCAAAUAUGUAUUAAUACUUUUGGGGGACAAAUUGAAGACUAUUAAUCUAAGGAGGGGUAUUUUUAACAAAAAUAAGGGAUAAAUUGAAGUUUUUAAAAGUAAAAGGGACAAUUUGAAGAUAAUCAAUUCAUAAGGGGAGUAAUUUGAAAUUAACCCAUCUAUUUACUUCUAAGAAGAGGAAAAAAAAGUCAUCAAUGCGCACACUAUUUGUUAUCAUCUUCCGAAUAAAAAUAGGAGAUAAAUUGAAAUUUUAUACUAAUGUCAGGCAAAAUUAAAGAUUGCUAUUCUAUCUCGGAGUGAAUUGAAGAAUCAAGACUGCACGUUGAUUUGGAGGAUGAAUCAUAGUGUUUGAUUGUAACCUUUUUAUAUUAUCGAAUUUCUUGUAUAAAUAGGGCCAUUAAAAAUAAUAAGGGUAACCAAUGUGUGCAUGAGAUAGGGAUGACAAUGGGGCAGAUAUGGGUUGGAUCUACUCUGCUCCAGAUCCAAAUCCAUAAUAAAAAUCAAGAUCCGUAUCUACUCCAGAUCCGUCAUGAAUCCAUAUUUUUCGUUCCAUAUCCAGAUCCAAAAAAGAAAUAAAUAUCUAUAUCUGCUCCAAAUCCGAAAAAAAAUUAAAAUCCAAAUCUGCUCUAGUCCGUCAUGAAUUCUAAAAUUCUGUAAUAAAAAAGUAAUAAUUUUUUACAUUGAAAAUUGAAGGAUAAAAUGUAUUGAUAACAAAUAAAUUAUAUAAUUUUACUCAAAAAUAUAAUAAAUAUUGUAGCUUAUACUUUUACACCAAAACAACAAAUAAGAAAGAUAAUAAAAUAUCAUUCAGAAGUAAUUGCAGGAGUAAGAUCAAUCUAAUAUUCUAUUAUCUCAUUCAUCAUUCUAAUAUCCACGAUACACAUACCCUCAUUCCUACAACAUUAGAUAAUGACAUAUAAAUUAAAUAUGAUUUAUAUUAAGUCCUUUAUUAUUUUUAUUAUGACCAUAUUUGACUAAAUAUAUGAAUAACUAUAUUCCUUAAAAAUUAUUUGGCCAAUAUAAUAAAAUAAAUUGCCAGGUUAUAUUACUUGGCUUGCAAUUUGAAUAUUGCAUGUACAUGCUUUGGGGCUGGUUGACCUUUAAAUUUACAAAACUAACCUUUAAGUUUUAAGAGUUUAAAUGCAUGGUAAAUACUACUAAUAUGCUAUGAAUAAAAUUUAUUAUCAUUAUAAUUCCACAAUUGUUAAGAAACUUUUAAAAUAAAAUUAAAUUAAAAGAUGAGUGGAUAUGGAUAUGAAUUUAGAUAUUAAGAUAGAUCCAGAUCCGUCUUAGAUCCGCACAUCGAUAUCCAAAUCCGAUCCAAAUCCAUUUUAAACCAAUCCAAAUCCGAUCCGAUAGGAUUUGGAUCACGUGGAUCUUGGAUCAAAUCCAAUCCAUUGCCAUCCCUAUGGCAAUCACUAUGGAGCACAAUCACUGGCGCAAAAAGCUCUCCGUCAGGGGUACUACUGCUUACCAUGAGGGAAGAUGCCAAGAAUAUGGUACGAAGCUGUGACAAAUGCCAAAGGUUCGCCAGGGUACCUCAUCUACCCCCAGAGAAGCUAACAAUUAUAUCUUCCCCUUGGCCCUUCACUAUGUGGGGAGUGGACCUCAUUGGCCCGUUACCUACCGGGAGGGGGCAAGCAAAAUAUGCAAUCGUGGCGGUAGAUUAUUUCAUAAAGUGGGCGGAAGCGGAGCCACUAACAAGCAUCACAAAAAGGAAAACCACAGAAUUCAUUUGGAAGAAUCUUAUUUGCGGAUUUGGGAUCCCCUAUGCAAUUAUUAGUGAUAAUGGCAAGCAAUUCGAUAAUGAAAAAUUUCAAAGUUUUUGUUCGGAGUUGGGGAUAACCAACCGAUUUGCUACACCUGCCCAUCCCUAAUCUAAUGGGCAAGUCGAAAUCGUUAAUAAGAUUAUCAAAGGUAUCCUGAAGAAGACGCUAGAAGAAAGAAAUGGAGCAUGGGUAGACGAGCUACCUGGGGUUCUUUGGGCCUACCGGAAUACUCAAAACACCUCCACCUGGGAGACCCCGUUUUUCCUCGCAUUCGGUGUUGACGCAGUGGUACCAGCGAAAAUCGGGGUACCCUCUCACAGGGUUGAAUGCUUUGAUGCGGCUGAGAACACCUCUUUGAUUGCUUCAAACCUUGAUUUGGUGGUUGAGAAAAGGACUAGAGCAGAAUUGAGGACAACCAUAUAUCAGCAUCGCAUUUCGGGUCUAUAUGAAAAAAGGGUACGCCCUCGAUCCUUCAAGAACGGAGACUUGGUCUUGAAAAGGGUAAUUCAGAACACUAUGGUACCCUGCGAAGGCACUUUUGGGGCAAAUUGGGAAGGACCUUACCGCAUCGACAAACUCAUUGGGUCAGGUGCAUACAGGCUACUCCACAUGGAUGAGACAAUCGUGAGGCACCCUUGGAAUGCUGCAAUGCUACAGAAAUAUUACUAAAGGACAAUGUCUUAACCUCUAGUCUUUUACUGUUAUUUGCUUUCUUUAAUGUUUUUGUGUGGUAGGCCAAAUGGGGUACCCCAAAUGCCCUAUGAUGGUCAGUUGCAACUUUAGAGUUUCUUUAAUUUUCAAAUGAAAAUGAUAGGAGGUCUUGCGGUCUCCCGUUCUCCUCAGGGUAACAAAGCUAAGUCAUGUAUUGAUCAACGCUUUCGUUAUCUAUAAAUGCAUUUUCUUUCUCAACAAAUAUGAUGUGGGUUCUUUCUUUAUUUUUCACCACUUCGAUCUUAGAAUGCGGAUUACAUUCAUUUAUCGCCAUUAAUAUACCCUCACAUAUGGUUAUAUGCAAUUCUCGUCAUACGCUUGUCAAUUAUGACUAACCUAUCACAGGACCAGCCAGGAUACCUUAUAUGCCUAGAUCGUGACGAUCUAUGCAAAGCCAAGAUAGGCAACAGAGUGAACAGCCCAGGGGUAGCCUUUCUGCGGAAGCAUGACAAAGCUACCUAAACAAAUAGAGGGAGGGUUGAAGAGGACCCAAGGGUGGAGUAAAACCGGCAUACCCUAGCGCCACGAGGUUCAGCUUAGGUAUGAGUACACCCACACAUCCGUCCUCUUACUUGAGCAAAGUAAGGGGUAAGCUACUCAAAAUAUUCGGAGAGAACUUCGAAAGAAUAAGAAAGUGAUUGGUUGGACCAAUUGCGCUUUCAACGUUUGAUCGAGAUGUCGCGAUGAUAUUUUGAUUACCUAUUUGUGGGGAAUCCGCCUGAUGCCGAAUAUUUGUUAUGGUACAAGGGGUACCCCAUUUUAAAAAAAAUUAGAGGUACCCUAGAAAUUUGUAAGAUAACAGUUUAGCCCAGCAUUCAUUUACAGAUAACAAGGAUGCAAAAUACAAGAGGACUCGGUGGCAUGGUAUCAUAACAAAAGAGAAGUCUCAAUAAUACAAAAUAUCUCAAGAAAUCAAAAAGAAAGAAACAAGUUCCAAAUAGCAAAAUGUGGAUAGAUCCCAAAAGACAAGAGCACUAUGAAGCGGCUACACCGAGGGUGGAACAUCAUCCCCGCCUUCCGUCUUCGGAGGGCGAUCAGCAGAGGACUCUGAGGUACCCGGAAUAUGAGCAACCGAAGUAGGGGCAUCUGAGGCAGGCAACGACUGAAGCACGCGGGGUACCCUAGGCGACCCGGAAGGGGUACCUGACCGUGCAUGGGAAGACUUCUUCCUCUCCGCAAUCAUCUUUAGAAUCGUGGCCUUGUUAACAAAUUUCUGCACACGGGGUACCUUCAGUUCCGGAUCCACGCUCCACACAUCCAUCAUGAUGAGUGAGAACGCAUCCUCCGCCAUCGUCUUUUUUCGGGAUAACAGAUCCUCGUUUGUGGCCCUCAACUCGUCGCAACCAUUUUCCACUCGAGAUUUCUCUUCAGAAAGGCCAGUAAUGCGUUCCUGCAAAGUCUUGAUUUCUCGAGCAAGCUCGUCCUCGCGAGACUGACGACUUUGGAGCUCACCCCUUAACUUGUCAACCUCCGAUUGGGCGGCAACAAGGGAGUCGAGAUUUGGAAGGCAGUGGCUGAGAAUAUAUGAUGCAUGCAGGUCGUAAAAGACGUGUUAAAUAUAUGUGUAUGGCAAUAAGAGUAAAUAAAUAAAAAUGGAGGAUACACCCGGGGUACCCCAUUAAAGCUUACCUCUUGGGUAGCCUUGAGUGUUUGACCAUAGCGCUGGUUCAAACUCAUCUUGUUUGUCUCUUCAGCGACCUCAGAGGUAACAUUUUCGGCAAAUAGUAGAAGCAGCGAGCCAAGUGCGAAACCUCCUUGUUAGAAGCCGGGUAUAGGUCACCUUCACGCAACUCAUUGGGGAAAGCCGAAACCAGCCCGAAUUUUCUCUUCUUUGAACGAGGGGUACCCUUCGACCCACUGUGGGAGGUACCCUGGGAUUUCCCCUUUGAUUCGGGAGCUCGAGGCGGCCAGGAACUUUUCUGGGGUACCGCCGAAUCCUGAGAUCCAGAAGCACCGCCCACUACCGCUUGGAAAAAGGCAUCAAAAGCGUCACCCGCCGAUUCCAUAACUGCACCCAAUGCACAAAAGUUAUGUUAGCAGGACAAGUACCAAGUACUACAAAAGCAAAAAUAGGAAAUGAAAAGCGGGGAAACAAAAUAAAGAACGCGGUGAUAACGGAGUACCCUAGACCCGUAGAUAAUAAUAGGGUACCCCACGACACUCGAAUCAUACAUGAGUCACCCCUAGAAGCAGGUGGAGGACUUCGAUCAAUCAACCCUACUCUCCGUAAUCUGCUCUCCUCUAGCACAUCACUACCCCUCUGUGCACCUCGAAGCCUAUCCACAAACUUCUUCGCCUCUCUCCCCACCUCCUGAACUGGGCAUGAUCCUUUAGCUCAUGUCACACCUGCAAAAGCAUGAAGAACCUAAGGUUAGCGAGACAUUCAUGUGAAAGAUUACGAUAAAGAACCGUAAUUAAGGGAGAUACUUAUAGUCUACAUUGAAGGAAUUGGGAACCUCCACGGGGUUACCCUUUUCACCCAGAGUCUCUGUCCCCCAGCUACCCUCAGCAACAAACCAUCCCUUUCUGUAACCCUUCUUCAAGGCGGGGUUUCCUUCAACAAUAUGGCCAUGAUCACCCCAAGUGGAGAAGUAAGCAAUACCGGGACCUUUAGGCUUUUUGAAUUGGUAAAGGCCCCUCAAAUCCCGAAUAGAAAUGUCGCGCUUCAAGACCUCCAACCAUAACACAUGUAAGCCCGUAAGCGUCUUCCACCCCGGAAGGGACAGCUGCCCAGGAGCUACUCCCAAAUAACUAAACAUUCUCAUAUAGAAAGGUUAGAGGUGUAGGCGGAGUCCUAGAUUAAAGAGGUCAAUAUGAAGAGCAAUCUCAUCAGACGUUGAACACUCAGGCCGCUCAUCCACAUGGGGUACCCUAAGCUGAACAGAGGGAGGAAUAUUGUAUUUGGCUCUAAUUUGUUCUAAAUCCUCCAAAGUAGCCCUUCUAGUGCCUAGGGAAAAAAGGUUGCUAGAUUUUGAAGGUAUGGCAGGGGGAGAUUUGGGAUGUCGGUCUGAGGAACGAGCUGGAGCCUUAGGCUUGGAUGACCUACCCUUCUUUCGAGGAUGUGGGGAUGGCCGUUUACUGGGAAAGCAUGGGCUGACACGAGGAGUACUCCUAGGGGGAGGGAGCUCAGAACGAGAGUUACAACUCCUAGAGGUACUAGGGGGGACCUCUAGGAGUUGUCAACCCUACUAGCCCCAACUGCACGUCGCUUCCUCACUGGUCCCGUAUGUUUCUUACCCAUCUACUUUCCCCCAACAACAUACCGACCAGGCCACAAGUCCCUAACAACACAUCCAACAAGCCACAAUUCCCCCAACAAUAUUUUCAUACCAUACACCACCCACCACACAUCAACCAUCAAAUGCAAACACCAACCACAAAAAAAAAAAAACAAAAAAAAAAUAAUUUUUUUUUCAGAGUAUGCAAAAUUGCGCCACUGUAAAUGCGCCAAAGGAGGAGUAACGAGGAGGGAUACCUGUGAUUCACCAACUCGGUAGAUCGGGAUUGAUAAUCGUUGGGGAGACGAAGCUACAGGCAACAAAAAACAGUAGGUAAAAAUAUGCAAGUAUAAAAAACUAAAAAUAAGCUUAAAUAUAUGUAAUUAUUUAUAAAUAAAUAAAAUGAAAAACGAAGGGCUGCAACCACCAAGAACCAACGCCGGCUGCCAUGGCUGCAAACCACCAAGAACCGACGCCAGAAAAAUGCAAAGGAGGACGCCAGCCAAAAUAAAAAAAAAUGAAAAUGAUGAAAAACGAAGAAGCUGCUGCCACUGAACCGAACCGACGCGGGGGGAAGAGCUGCAGCCACCGAACCGACGCUGGCUGCCAUGGCUGCAACCACCAAAUCGAUGCCGGAAAUCGCCAAGGAGAACACCGGCCGAAACGAAAAAGAAAAAGAAAAGAGAGAAGAAAAGAGAGAAGAAAAAGAGAAAAAAGAGAGAGAAAGUAAGGAUAAAAUGAAGACACAAGGGAGGAGCGUUACCGUGUCUACCGCUGGAUCGAGAUCUCGCCGCGAAGUCGUGAAAAACGUCCUUGAACCAAUCAGAUCUGGAGCCAAAACCACCACUGCAGCAGUCGAGAUCCACACCGAAAAAUGCACCAGAUGAACGCCGGCCGAGAGAGAAAGAGAAAAAGAAAGAAAAUGAAGAAAGAAAAGGGAGAAAGAAAAGAAAAUGGGAAAGAAAAAAAACGCAAGAGGAAGGAAAUAAACUAAAAUAAAAAAGAGGAAGAGAAAUAAAGAGAUGGAAUAAGCCUAGGGAGAUGAUCGGGUGUUAAAAAAAAAAAAAGAAAUUUGUACCUGUGAGCAAUUUGUUGCAAUCAAGAAAUAAGACGAAAGUUUGAAGAAAGAAGCCACUGAAGACAAUUGAUUUUUUGGGAGAUUAUUUGGGGAUUUUCAAAAUAAAUGAUAAGAGAUUGACAUUUACCUCAGGAGUCUUUAAUUGAAUCUGUCAGAACACACUGCACGAAAAGGAAGUCAGGGAUGUUUGCGUGAGAUAGAAAUUUUUAAAAUUCAAACUGCAUGUCAGACGACUGCUACUUCCCAAGAAAAACGGGAGAGAGACAUAAAGACAAUUGUUCGUUCUCAUUAGCAGUUGAGUAAAAAAAAAAAAAAAAAAAAGGCGGGAAAGGGAAAAGACAAAGAGAAGAUUUUUAGCUCGGCAGUACACAAAGUUUAGUCAAGGGAAGAAACUAAGCAAGGUAUCCCCGGUCUAGCCGCAUCGCCACAUGUCACUCAUACAAUGAGUUUCUUUUGCCUCCGAUACUUCUCGCCAAAAAGAAACUAGGGGGAUGUUGUUUGAGGGAAAAAUAGGAAAGACGGUAAAGCGCCACGUGUCGACAAAUGGAAUGACUCCAGCACAAUCUGAGGUACCCUGCACGAUCCGAGGUACCCGGCAUGAUUUAAGGUAACCCGGACAAAUUGAGGUACCCCGUACAAUAAGGGGUACCCCACAUAAAUUGAGGUACCCCACGUAACUCGAGGUACCCGGCAGAUUAGAUAUAAGAGAAUCCUCCGAAAAUAUCCGCCAUGAGAAACGUCUCCAUCUCUUAAAAGAUAUUAUUCGAUUUUGUCAGAAUUAAGAAUCAAGAACGUCGUAUCAAAAGGGGGGGACAGCCGCCUGCUACCUCUGCCAAAAGUGAAGGACACUGUCCCAAGGACAGUGGUCCUCAGCUGCCUACCCGACAGCUACUGCAGAGGUACCUUGGACCACUCUCCAGCGCGCGCCACGUUUCCAAAGGAUGAGAUACGCCGCGAACAUGCACAUAACGGCCCAAAAAUCAUAAAAAAGAAAAAUGACGUUGGCCAAAAAGGGUACGCCACGUGGCAGCUGAGGUACUCCAUAUAUAAAGGUGCCUAGGUUUCAUUCUCCAUCAUGCUCUCAUUCACCAUUAACACUCACACUCUAAAAAAUAGGUUUUCUUCAACCUUAAACCCUAAUUUACAGAGAGCUUGCCAGCUCUCUUUACCAUAAAAGCUUGAGUUUGCUAACUUGAGCGUCGGAGUGUGAACGCCGGGGUACCCCGGCUUCACCUCUAACCUCUAUUUCAUUGUUUUGCAGGUGUGGAGCCCAUUUGGAAGGACACCUCUCUUGGUUUUGACCUUUCACCAUUGUUACCACUCCCUCUCCCCUUUUCACCUCUCCCAAAUUUCAGGUACGCCGCACCGUACACAACAAACCAGUGAGGUACCCCAUCUCCCCUGAAAAUACAAAUUCAUUGUUCUAGAUAGAUUUUGAAUUUUCCUACCCCAAAAUCUGUUGAAAACAUUAUGUAUAAACUAAUAUUUUUUUAUUAUUCUUGAAGUUAUUUUUUUAAUUGCUUUAAUUUUUUAUUCACAUAAUAACAUUAACUAAACUGAAAUAUUGAACAAAUCAAAUUAUGUUUAUUGUGAUGAAUAAAAAAUAAAACAAUAGUAUUAACUUUAUCAUAAAAGUUGAUGUUAUAAUUACAUCUUUUAUUACAAAAUUAAAUUAAGAUCAAUAAUGAUAGAUCUUUUUAAUGCUACCAAACUAAUCAACCUGUGAAAAUUAUAAAUUGUGAAGAACAAAAAUAUGCACCACUUAAAAGGAUAUAUAUAUCAAAUUACGAGCUUUUAAAUUUUUCUCUUCAAAUGUUGAAAAAAAAAAUGUCAUUCGGACAUCUUUAUUCAGAAUCUAUUCAGAUUUCAACUAAAUUCAGACCUAUUUAAAUUUCAGAUAAAACAACAAACGCAACCUUAGCUCGUAUUAAUCAUUUUAGUUAGUUAUGAAUUAGUUACAAUAAUGAUGCCUAAGCAGUGAGUAUAAAUUGAAUGUAAUUGUAACAUUUUGUUUUAAGCAAUAAAACUAAGAAAUCUGGAACAUUCUCUGAGAUAUUUUUUGAGCCACCAAACAACUCCAUUUCUGUUUCUUUCACAAAAGAUCCACGAAGUAUGCGGGCUUAAUGCUUUGAGCUACUCCUAUGAGACUAUUUUGAUUGUUCUGUACUGCCGCCCAAACGGAGCAUCUAAAUUUCCCAAACUCAUUAUCUAAUAAACUCCUAAACAACAACUAAAACUAAUAAAUUUUUGUUCCAAUGCUAAGCUGAGAUUUUUAUAUAUUUUUUUUUCAUGCACAUCCACAAGUGCGUAAUUAAGAUUUAAUACAUGUUAUAUUUUUGUCCAAUAACUACCAACCAUAGUAUUAACAAAGCAAUAAGGUUUUUGUCGUUCUUGGAGUAUUGUGUCUUAUCCCUUUAAUUCUUUCCACAUGGGCAGCCUAUUAUCAUGACUGUUGAAGUACAUAUGUGAUUGAAUGUAAAAAUGGCAGUAUCCCAGAAGCAUCCAAGAUUUGCACAGAGCUAAGCUCAAUCUUAAAUUCAAAUCAAAACUCGCACCACUUCUUUGAGAAUGAAGGAGCAAGAAAAAUAGUCCUAAUAUAGCGCCCAAAAAUAACCAAAAAAAUGAGAUAAGAGAGACGAUGAUUUUUUCUCUUUGCUAUAACAUUUUCUGCCAAACCGACUAGGAGUAUCUUUUACUUUAUUUUAUUAUCUAAAAUUUACGUUAAAGACUCUGUUUUUGACAUCUGACUUAAGUAUUUGAGGAUUAUUGAGAGUUAUAACACUGGCACACUUUACAAUUACGACUACGUUAUCGUGUUACAAUUAUAAUUUUGUUCUUUGAAGCCGAAAUUUAGCAUCAACAUAAUUGAUUAAGGAACUAGAAUUUGCGUCAUCAAUUUAAAUAUAAAAUUUAAGUUAACACAUAUAUAUCUACCGUAUAUUAAAAGUAAUGUGUUUUCAAUUGAAAAUAAGUAGAACUGGUGGUGAGUUUACUGAAAAGUGAAAAUGGGUUGAGAAAGAGAGUUUACAUCUAGCUUCCGUCGAACCAAAAUCCUAAUAAUAACGUUGUAAAGUUUCACUAAGAACCUGUCAUAUGUGAGUGGUUAAAAUAUAGUUGCAAGAACAGCUGAUGUGGCAGCCAACUGCGCCAAAGUUAGUUACAAAAUUGCUAGCUCAGCUAUGUCUGUUUGGAAUUCUGUAAUUACUGUUUUCUUUAUCAAAUUAUCUUAGCAUUAGCUUUGCAUGAUUCGGUGAUUAAUUAAAAUGGUUGCUGAAAUAGUACUUUAAAGACGUAUGUUUUUAACUAAUAUUCAUUAAUUGAAUCAGAAGAAAGAGACUGAUUUUUUUUUAUAUGUUUUGGAAUUCUGUAAUUAGUGUUUUGUUUAAUAAUAUAAUAAGGGUAAUUAUCUUAGAAUUCGUUUAACAUGAUUCGCUGAUGAAUUAAAAUGAACUCCAAAUUGUUGAAAUAGUCCGUCAAAGACGUUUGACUUUGACUAAUCUUUCAUUAAUUGAAUCAGAAGAAAGAGAAUGAUUUCCAUUAAAUGAUUAACGUGGCAUGUUCUUGAGUUUAAAUCGAAUCUAUGACCCUUGGCCAUGCAUGAUUUUUAUCUGUUGAUAUAAGCGUGUCCACAUUCUGUAUUCUCUAGUAAAGGAGUUUGUGCAUUUGGCUAUUAGUAUCCUCCUUUGACUUAUUAAGGGAAAUUUGAAAUUAUUGUGCAGGGACUUUAUCCACUAAUAACGCAAAUAAAAUUGUUAGCUAUUGACUAUAGGAGGAUGAUUUGUUGUUAAAGUGAAAAUUGAUGUCGAGUAAAGGAAAAAUUCCCGAAUAUUUCCCGUGUGGAUACCCUCUCUCUUGAUUAAAUGAGAGCAGCACAUUCUGCUUUCUAGUCCUCAUCUUAAUUAUAAAAUAUUUUCUUCUUCAAUUUAAAGAAGCCACAAGCACCAGGCACUAGCGGAUUCAAUUUUUGCCAAAUUUUCUUUGGUACGAAAAGGAGCUGAAACAGAGCAUUGACCUUGGUUAACAUAGAAACCCAAAUUAAAUAAAUGCAUAAGAUAGUAUACAAAUACUAAUAAUAAAGAAUCAAAUCAUGCUAUCGUAAGUCAUAACCAAUUCUUAUUAUUUUUGACACGUUAAUUUUCCAUGUUUAUCACCUGGACGUUUCCCCCCCUUAUUUACUCAGAUUUACAGUGUUCAGCUGUAAAAAAUCUGGAAUCUUGAAGCAUAACAAGUAACGGACAACUAGCUUAUCAUUUACAGUCAUUUAAUUAGUAACAAUAAAAUUGCAUAAUUCUGCCCUUGUGUAUGUGCUUAAUGGAUUGUUCGCACCCCUAUGGUGUAUUAAUGGGGUUAAUAAAAUUAGUAGUCCGUUAUAUUUGUACAAAGAAGAUAUGAUACCCAUUUUAAAAGAUUAUUUAAGAUACCCCUAAGAAUUUUGUCGUUUUAAAUUCUUGACACGCAUACCUUUGUUUGUUUGUUUUUUUUUAAGUUUCAAACGCUGCUCAGGCGCUCAUCAAGAAUCAAUGGUCGUCUUAGAUCUAAAAUAUUGAAAAAAUAUCAUGAAUAGCAUGCGAUUGAAUAUUCUUACAUAGUCAAUCAACAGGUAAAAGUUAAAAAAAUCUCCAUCGUUGAAAUAUUGACAUUCUUACUGUUAUUUUUUUCUUUUUGAUUUUUUUAAUAAUAUUAUCUUCUUAAAAUAAUAUUUCUUUUUUAAGACAUUAUUAAAAAAAUAGAUUAUUAAUUUAUCCCCAAAAUAAAACAAAAACAAAAAGAAUAUAUGUUAAUUUUUGUGAUUAAUAUAUAGAGAAAAGCAUGUUAGAUGAUGUCCCUAUCAUUUCAAGCUUGGGAUUUCUAUUCACAAAAAAAAUAAAAAAAAUUUGGGGUUUCUAUAUUUUGGCCCUUGCCGCACCACUUCCUGAAUGGCGUAUGACGAACUUGUUCUUUCUUACAUCAUUUCCAUUCAAGCAUCGUCAUCUUCUUUAGGGGGUUCAAGGUUCAAGUCAAAAAAUGCAAGCUUUUCGUAGCCUUUUCCUCGAACCAGCCCAGUACCAUUCUUAUUUGCCUCAUCAGUCUUCGUAGCUGUACUUAAAAGAGCAAAGAAAUUGAAAGAAGUGUGUCAAAUACAGAUGAUGAAACAGUGCCGGAGCUUGAAAAUUUAUGAAAAUAGAGAAAGACCUGCGCUAGCUGCGGCGUGUGUCACCAAGGACUUGUGUAAUCUGACGGCGCCUGGAAACAUCAAUGUGUUAUACUUGAUUAAUUCCGUCAUCAAAUUACUCUCAAUGUGGGUAAAUCCAUACUUGUUGAUCCACAUUGGGACAAGUUCAGGGACCGAUGGAAUUACAAGGUUUUCCACAUUGAGCAUACGAAGAGCCUGUAAAAUUAGAUUCGCAUGAGGUCAAAUGCCAAUAUCAAACAGACUAAGCAGAAGGUUAUUCAGCACAAUGAAAUGAACAAUAUGACACAGUGCCAGCUGGGUAGUAGCUUAAGGCAUCAGCACUCACUGAUUCAAUUUGGGCCAACAGUUUCUGCAGCAUUCUUCUUCCCCUGAAUCUUUCACGGGUUCCGAUAAAUGGCAUCUCGGCAAACUUUGUCCCAUGUACUCUGUACAAAUGAAGUGAAUACUCCAAGUUAAACGAAAGCAUGUAGCUGCAAAACGCAUGUAUGUAUGUACUGGAUCAUACCAGAACACAUGAAAUGCCAGUAGCAAUCAUACCUUAUUGAUGCCACGGAGAUAAAUUCAUCAUUCCUCUCCAGUAUAGCGGUGUAAAAACCUCUAAAAUUUACCCGCCUCAGGUUAGACCUGAAAGAGAGAAUUUAGAAGAAGGAAAAGGCUAUGUGUAAGCAUUUUCUUGAAUGAACAAGAGUGACAGAAAGAUUUAACGGAAGGAUCUAAAGCGCUUACUCCCGAUUGUAGAUGACACUUUGAGUGAUGUUAAUACCAGUGUAGCGGUCAAUAACUGGCAUGAAAAUUUCUUCCAUGACCGUCCAUGCUACAGAAACUUUUGAGUUGCCUACUGAAAUCUCAUGCAAAAACUCCCCAUUCGAAUGUGGGUCCCGAUCUAGCUUCAUCUGGACAAGACUCCAAGUAUAUCCAUCAGCAAGCUCUUUUCGGACUCCCAAAUGCUUCUCUUGGAUCUCCGAGAAAACCUGUUCACAAAUUCCUUUUCGAAAUUAAAGCAUACAUGCAUGCAUUAAGGUUUUUUAAUUAAAAAAAAAAAAGAAUGCCCAUGAAUGUGUGUAAUAAAGAAUUCACAAAUACCUCUUCACAACUCUUCCCACAAAAUUUGGUUGGUGAAUCAGGACUAGACGGUUGUCUUGAAGAAUUAAUACAGUCCAGGUGAUCUGUAUCAAGAAUAUAAGUUAGAACUUAGAACUUCGGCACUAUCCAAAUAGUGCUAUUUCAAAAUGUGCUUUCUAAUGAUGUACUGUCAAUUAAUUUCCACAUUGAAAUUUUAUGUGUGUUAGUGAGUAAAGAAGCUGUUCUCUUUCUUUCACAUCAGCUACGUAGCUCAAUUACUGCCCUUAUCACAAAGAAAUUAAGCAAGUGUAAAACCUUACAUCUCCUUUGACAUUGUUUGCAUUCGUGCAAAUCACCUGGCCCGCCAGUACCACAAAAUUUGCAAAUGCAGAAAGGACACAGCCAUUCUCCUUGCGGUAUUUUCUGCAUUCACUCCAAUUUCUUAAGAUUUUGCAACUAUAUAUGCAAAAUAAUAAUAAUACCAACAAUAAAUGAGCAAAAUCCAACCUUCAUGCCCAUGCAAUCUGGAUGAAAAGUAGAGGGACAUUUCUCACAACAAAUCAAGUCACCCCCAUCAGCGCAAAUCAUACAGGCAUCAUCGUUCAAGUCAGAAGCAUCUUUCCGAGGCUCAACAAGGUUAAAUCCACAGCGUGCCAGUUCUUCCGGACGCAGUAACCCCUUGUAAUAAAUCCAACCCAAGAGAUGACAUCCCCAAUCCACUAAGUAGAUGUGGGCAUAUGGCUCCUUAACAUGACCUUCGUUGGCAUGUUCUUCAAACCCGUACACAGUAAUCACCUUAUGACAGCAAUUACAACGCACACCGUCUCUCUUAAUGGUUCCUUCUAUAAUCUUUUCUUUAUCGCGGAUGUACCAAACUCUCAUACCUUCGAAAAUGAUCCCCAGGUCUAUCAUCCAUGAUAGUAUUGUCCUUUUCUUGGAAAACACUCCCCUGUUGCUCUUGUUUGAUGCACCUGGCCUUCGACGCAGUAUCCUUCUUCUUCUUGUUGCAACAACACCACUAUUCCUUCUCGAACUUCCAAACUCAGUAGCCUGGUUUGGAUUAUUAAUGCACGGGUUUAUAUUGAAGUUCUUUCGAGAGCUCCUUUGAUAACUUGUUCCAGCUACGUAGUCAGGAUCAGAAUAGCUGGAAUCAUAAUCCUGGCUUUCUGAUGAGCUGCUUGAUACUUCUAAAAUUCUCUUCUGUUUCCUCUCCCUCAUAUUGCUAAUUUUGUUACUGUAAAAAUAUAACUGAAACAUAGACAAAAGUAAAUGCCGGUGUAGAAUGCUAAUAAAUUAAUAAAAAUAUCAAAUCAUGCCUAUGAUUUUUUAUGUGUGUAUAUAUAUAUGCAACACUCAAAUCAAACUCGAAAUCAUGCAUAUAUUUCUGAUACGUUUCCAUUUUAAUUUCCUUCUUUGUUCAGAUUAGCAGUUUUUAUCUGAAAUCUCGAAGCAUAAGUGCAUAACUAGUAGAAAAAGAACAGCUAGCUUCUCAUUUAUAUUGAUUUAGUAACUAUUUAUGUAAUUGCAUAAUUCUCCUUUUGUGUUUGUGCUUUCUUGUGAAUAGUGGAAAUUCCAUGCUAUUUCGUAAUGCAAGAAUGAUCAACUCAAUAGCGAUUACAAACAAAUCUUAGAUUAGUCAAAAUAAUUCCAUGCUGCCGUGAAAACAUUUUUAUGCGUAAAUGACUCGAAACGCCUAUUCAGAUUUAUACUACAUUAACUUUAAAUUCAUGCAUUAGACUCACAUUACUACAAAAAUUAAUCAAAGUAAAUAAAAAUAAGAUGUUUAUUAUAACAAUAAUGUUUGGGAUCAAUAUUAUAAUAAAAAUAAGAUGUUUUUUUUAUAAAAUUAAUCAACAUUUGAAUCCCAACUUGAGUGUCAAUGUUAUGUAUCAUUUAUCUAUUGGAUGAUAAAUUUCAUAGCUAGUAAAAGUACUUAAUCAUCAUCUAAUGGAUGGAUACCACAUUAGUUGGGAUUCAGAUUGAGGAGAAAUUCUAGAAUACAUCAGAGGUACCAUGUUAGCCAUACAACAAGUAAAUAAUGUUAUGAUAUGUGUGCAUUUAGUUUGAAAAACCAUCAUGCAAAUGGUGAUUAUAUUAAAUUCAACUACACAUGACAUACAUGCAUGAAUUGGUUGUAAUACAUCAGAUGUAUUUUAAAAUUUCUCCAGAUUGGGACUUAUGACGUGGGACAUCUAGCAUUGCUCUUAUUAAAAUAAUCAUUAUGAAAGUACUCGAUAACUAGCUUAUAGAAAUGAACCAAACAGAACCGGUUUAUCUUGUUUUGGGGAAAAUCUAAAAUUUCAACUUUAAUUGUGGCUUCCAUAAAGUAAAUUAACAUUAUCAGUUCAUGCAUAACACACACACACACACAUUCAUAUAUAUAUAUAUAUAUAUAUAUAAUAUCUGAAAUAGCGAUUGUCUAGAAAUAUUACCUAAAAUAUUUUUAAGGUGGCCACCACUUUAAAUUCUCAAAAUGCAAGCAAUUUCUUCAGCAUUUGAACUACGGAUCGUCAAGAAUGAUUUAAAAUUUUCAGAUCUAGAAAAUCUUCUCGUACACAAAGAAUCGGUAUACUAAAUUUAAACAGUGAAAAAAGUAGUUCUUUAAUGAAAAAUAAAAAAUGAAUAAAUUAUUUGAUGGCAGUGAAGAAAAUUUUAUUUAGAUUGCGAGUGGCUAAAGGGUGGACAACGAGAAUAAAUAAGAGGGAAUCAGAAAAUGAGAGAGAGAAAGUGCAAGAAAACGAGUAGAUGAGUAAGAAAAAUGUAUAUAGAGUAGAUGCGAAAGAGAAAGAAGAAUAUAUAUAGAGUAGAUGCGAAAGAGAAAGACACGAGGCAAUAGCGUGUAUAUCGCAUGCAAGUCUAUUUGUCUUUGUGGCAUUGAAUUUGAAAUAUAUUUCAUGGAAAGUGUUGAAUUAGAUUUUUGCAUUUCUUUCCUAAAAAACAAUUGUAAAAAUAGUGAUAGAAUUACAAAUUUUUAUACAAACUGACGUGGCACAAUCAUAUUAGUUAAAAUAAAUCAUGUGGACUGCGGCAUGUUUUGAUCUAAUCAAUAUCUAGUUAUGUCAUAUUAGUUUGUAUAAGAAUUUGUAGCUCCAUUAUUACUCAUAACUACAUAACCUUAAGAUGUACUUGAAGAGUUUUUUUUUUUUUGAAUUACAUGAGACUAUUACUCAGAUUACAACUCAUAUUUCAUACAAAUCUUAUAUAGCACUGCCCAUAUUUUACCUUUUCUAGAUUUUACAAAUCUUAUAUAGCACUUACUGCCUUCAAUCACAUUGAGAAAUGAAAUUAAACCCCCAUAAUGCGUGUUUAUUAGUCUAUAACUCAUUUACAUCAUCUUCAUUAUUUAGCUCUAUAUUGAUUAUUUAUAUAUGAAUUGUUUAAUGAGUUAUAUUUAUAAAAGGACGCAUAUAAACAUGAUUUUAUGAAGUCAGGAUCUAGUUUUCGUAAUUAGCUCGGUUUAUUAAUUUGCAACUCUUACACAUAAAAGGACUUAUGGGCAUUGUAAAUUUAUAAUGUUAGGUUACAGGCAUUGGCCAAGUGUUAAAAAUAAUAAUACAAUUUUAAAAAUCUAAUGCUACCAAAUCGCUAAGUACUAUUAGUUUUAUGUUUUUAAAGUUCUUAAUAAAGAUUUUCACUUUAUCUUCUUAAUUAAAAAUUAGAAGCUCUGGAAAGGAACCAAAAAAUAAAAGAAAAAAAAAUUAACGUCAAUGUCCAUGCAAUUUGAUGGAAAUAAGUAAAGGGAAAUUCCUCAUAACAAAUCAAAUUUUCGUUAUUUAAGAUACUUAAUAAGUACAUACGUUUAGUGUUAUUUUCGUACGCAAUACAUGAUUUAGGAGUGUUUUUUUAUUUUGUUAUUUAUCUCAUAAUGAUGACUAACCAGAGUUCAAUUCUUAGUUGCAGCACUACACUCACAAAAUUAAGAUGUGAAAUUUUUGUUAUAAUUGAUGUAGUAAAUGAUCUGGCAUUAUAACAUCUUCUCAUUGUGUCACAUGAGUACGCAAAUAUUCAUAUCUUAAUUCUAUCGGUAUAUAAUUUUUUAAUUCUCAGAAACAAAAAUUUAACUAAUAAAACGCAUUGGUUUGAUUCAUUUACAUAUUAUUAAAUUUACCUAAAAAAAGUGAUGACAAAGUUACAAGCUCUUUUAUAAAUUUAUUUUGUACAUACUUAUAUGGUUUAAAUUCAUUAGUUAAAUAAAAAUAUAAAAUAAUAAAAAUAAAUCAGUGGAAUAAGAGCUGUUUAAUCCAACCAAUUAAGUUAUACCACACAAUUUAUACUAGUGGUUUUUUACUCUAUUUUUACUAAAAAAGAAAGAAAAUAUAUACUUUAUUUGGCUAGUAAUUUUCACCCAUAUAUAGAAUUCUCCUUGCAAAGAAAGAAAUCUAAUAUUUUUAUCAUCUUUAUUCUUAUUUAGUUUUCUUAUAAAAUAGUGUAAUUAUAACAGUAGUGUUCUUAUCCAUCUACCCUUUUGUAUAGUCAUCUCUACCCUGCUUUGGGUUCCUUUUUUAGUCUUAACAUUAAUUGGCUAGCCAUUUUUGCCCAUACAGAAUCCUCCUUGUAAGGAAAGAAAAUCCAAUAAUAUCAUCAUCUUUAUCCCUAUUUAGUUCUCUCAUGAAAGAGUUUAAUUGUGCUAGUAUUAUUCUUAUCCCAUAUACCCUUUUGCACAGUUGUCUUUGUCCAUGUCUCUGAGUUGUCUCUUAUAUGUUUUUUCUUUUUUAUGAGUCGAAUAUUUAGUUAUUUCAUUAAAGGGUUUGAAUUAUAAAAUACCACACUUGUACAAAUAAAUUUUAUGUGACACUCAUUUAUUGGUACGUCACAUUAAUUGGAAUACGAAUUAAGAUCCAAUUAUUGGGAUCGCUAGCCCUAUUAUUAUUAUUAUUAUUAUUAUUAUUAUUAUUAUUAUUAUUAUUAUUAUUAUUAUUAUUAUUAUUAUUAUUAUUAUUAUUAUUAUUAUACGGUGUUCUAUCAUAUCUUAUGCAGAUGAUUGCCAUUAAAUCAUUUUUUUUAAAAUGAAUAUUCAAGUUGUAAUAUAAGAGCAUCUCCAAAAGACUUUUUAGAUUUUACUCUUCAAAUGUCAAUUUACUUAUUGAUGUGGUAAAUAAGUAUAUGAAAAAAUACAAUCUCUUCCAAAAGACUCAUCAAAGAAGAAUAAGUUAAUAUUAUUUUAAUUAAAUCAUUCCAUUAUUAAAUUAAAUUGUUGUUAUAUUUUUGAAAGGAAACAUAAAUAAUAAUUAUUGUAGUCUAAUCUUUUCAAUAAAUAAUAAUAAAAUAUUAAUAGAAGAGGGAGAAACUCACUCGACAAUAUUGAAGAGUGAGAAACAAAUCUUAUUUAAAGAAUCUAAAUUAAUGUGUCUUUUAAAGUGUUUAAUAUUGAUAUGACUCUUCAAAUAAGAAGUAGAAUUUAAUUUGAAGAGUUUUUUGGAGAUGCUCUAAGUAUUGUAAAUUUCUUGAAUGACUAUAAAAUCAUUUGGAUGCAAAUUAGUUUAUUUGGUAAAAUGUCUUGAGUGAAAAAUAAGAAUUGUGAGUUCAAACGUCGCUAUAUGAGUGAGAAAGUAGAGUAAUGAUAGACAUCCCAAAUUUUAUUUUAAAUGAUGUGUCAUUCAUUAAGUGGUUAAUAUUUUUUUCUAAAAUCCAAGUGAAUUAAUUGAAUUAUUUCACGAACUAAUUGAUGAAUGCCACAUCAUUUGAAAUAAUUUUUUAGAAUAAAAAAUUUAGGGUAUGUAGCACUACUGAAAAAAGUAUUUAGUUAUUCUUAGACUAAAAAACAAAUAAUAAUAAUAAUAAUAAUAAUAAUAAAAUGGCUACACUUCACUAUAAAUUUGCCACCUACAAUCUCUCAAGUUGCAGUUAACAAGCAUAUUAUCUCUCUUUCAUAAACCUAUCUUCUCCCCUUACCUUUCUUAUAGUUCUAAAGCUUUUGCCAAACAAACUAGAUGAACAAUAUGCUCUUCAGAAUACUUAAAAAUCAGUGAAAGCUAUUGAAUGGAGAGACCAUUUGAAUUACUCAAAUACUUCAUCACGUUUCAUAUUGAUUAUGAAACAAAAGUGUGGCCUCUUCUUAGCAGUAGUAUAGAAGAGAGAUCAAAGUGUUUGAAUUACAUCGAAUUAGUGAUUAACCAGAAUGUUUCGGUUGAAGCCACGCAUAGGUAUUUCUUUAUCCUUCGUUUUCUUUCUCAUUAAGUUUGAAUUUCAAGCAAUAACAAUUAUGUUUGACAAAAUAUGUACACAUUAUAAUAGGGAAAUAAAAAUUUAUAUUAUUUGUGCGAAGACCGAGGAUUGCGGCGGACACGAGAAGGUAUGCUGCAUAUUUAUUUUCCCUGUUCAUUGAUUAAAAAAGUGAUUUUUUUGUCUUGGAUAAUAUCUUCUGUGUUUUUUCAAAACAUUAUCGCAUAAUUAUCUUCUUGUUUUGCCAUCAGGGCAAGAAAGCACCAUAAUUUGCAUUCAUAUAGACAACAACAAGGGAUUUUUAUUAACAUAUUUUUAUUGUUUUGCCUUUGUCAAAUUCAUUCGUUUGCAGGUACUAUACGACUUCUAUAUUUUGGGAUUUCUAUAUUUUGGCCCUUGCCGCACCACUUCCUGAAUGGCGUAUGACGAACUUGUUCUUUCUUACAUCAUUUCCAUUCAAGCAUCGUCAUCUUCUUUAGGGGGUUCAAGGUUCAAGUCAAAAAAUGCUAGCUUUUCGUAGCCUUUUCCUCGAACCAGCCCAGUACCAUUCUUAUUUGCCUCAUCAGUCUUCGUAGCUGUACAUAAAAGAGCAAAGAAAUUGAAAGAAAGGUGUUAAAUACAGAUGAUGAAACAGUGCUGGAGCUUGAAAAUUUAUGAAAAUAGAGAAAGACCUGCGCUAGCUGCGGCGUGUGUCACCAAGGACUUGUGUAAUCUGACGGCGCUUGGAAACAUCAAUGUGUUAUAAUUGAUUAAUUCCGUCAUCAAAUUAUUCUCAAUGUGGGUAAAUCCAUACUUGUUGAUCCACAGUGGGACAAGUUCAGGGACCGAUGGAAUUACAAGGUUUUCCACAUUGAGCAUGCGAAGAGCCUGAAAAUUAGAUUCGCAUACCUGCGCUGGCGGUUGCACUGGCGGUUUGAAUUACAAGAUUUUCAACAUUAAGCUUACCAGGAGCCUGAAAGUGGAUCAGAUUCGCAUUAGAACUUGUUCCAGGCAGACAUAUAUUGAAAUGAAAAAUAUGACACAUACAGCUGAUUAUUAGUAGCUUCAGCACCAGCACUUACAGAUUCGAUUUGGGCGAAUAGUUUCAGCAUCAUUGUUCCUUUGUAGUCCCCGCUUCUGAACUUUUCACGGGUUCCGACAAGUGGAAUCUUCGCAAUCUUGGUCCCAUGGACCCUGUAAAACUGAAGUGAUGAAUGCUCCCAAGUUAAAUGAAAAUUGGCUGUUGUAAAAUGUGUAUGUACUGGAUUGAUUGUACGAGAACACAUAGAAUGAAGUGAUGAAUACUCCCGAGUUUUUCUUAAACUGAACCGAUUAGUUCACAAAAACUAAAAUAAAUAAAAUUUCAUAAAAAUUUAAUCUAAAUUAAUCAGCUCGAUUCCACUUUGCUUCCCCAGUUUAUUGAAUUCAAUUGAAAUAUUUGUUGAAAAGUUUAUUUAGAUAAUCAUUGUAGUAUUGCUUGUGUUUAUCAAUUAUAUUUUCAUGAAUGUAUUUUAAAAAUAAUCUAACCAUUAAAACAUAGUUAAGCUGGCAGAUUGAAUUAACCAUAAUUUAUAUCUUAUACGUUUACAUUAUUGGUUUCCUAUAUUUUAUUAUUAGUGUUUCUCGAAGCGAAAAUCAUAUUUAAAUUAUAAUAAUUUGAUAUAUAUUAUUAGUUUAGCAAAAUUUGGUUUGGGGAUUAAAAGGAAAAAAUUGGGAGAUCGAAUGACAAAGUUAAUCUCUUAACCAAUAACAAUAACCGUUCAUGCAAUCUUUGAGAAAAUGUAAAAUUAAUUGCUACUUCAAUUAAUGUUUUCAUAAAAUAAAUAAUUAAUUAACAUUAGCAAUUUUUAUAUACACACAUACUUACAUAGAAACUAAGUGAGGAACGCCCUAAUCCAAUUCCAGAGCUUAGUUAUAGUUCAGAAUCCUGGACUGAAGAUUCACUACAUGUAUUAUUUCAAACAGUGAUUGAAAGGAAACAGUGAUUCAUAUUACCUACGAUAUUUAAAAGGAGGCCUGUUGAAAAGUCAGAAGCAAAUGCCAACUUUGCAACUGUUAGCAUGAAGGCUUUGGAGAAGCAAAAUCCAAUUUGGUUUUUGUUAGCCGAAAAGAAAGAAUGGAAAAAGGGGAUGUAUUGAAAAUAAUAAUAAUUAUUUAUUAUAUUUUCAAUUAUUUUAUUCUUUGCAUAGUGCCAACAUUUUUCCUAUAAAUAGCUUAGGAUUUCAUUCAUUUGAAAUCAUCCCAAAAUUGUUAAGCUUAUAAGUUUCUAAGCUUUUGAGAGAAGUGAGAGAAGUGUGUCUGGGGAAUUUAUCUUUCCUGCAGAGUGUGAGAGUACUGGGUAUAUUUGGGUUUCUGGGAAGUGAGAUUCGUUACUCAAAUAUUGUAUUCUAUUAAUUGUUAAAUAAACAAUUAUUCUUUCUUGCCUCCGUGGAUGUAGGUUUAAUUACCGAACCACGUAAAUUCUUAUGUCCUUUAUUUUUCAGUAAUUUUUGGUGCGCUUGAUUCCGCAUUCCGCGCACAACAAGUGGUAUCAGAGCCGAUGGUUCGUACUUGGGGGGAUACGGUACUGUUCACGUAUACGGUACUAUUCCCGUAUACGGUACUGUUCACAUACGGUACUGUUCACGAAUACGGUGGAGACGUCCAUUUGUACUUGGGAGACAGUCUAUUGUAAGUAGUGUGUAUUUUUGCAUGUCUAGGAAAGUUCUGUCAACAAAGGCGAUAAGAGUCUAAGGAUUCUGGUUUUUAAUUGGGACCGAGUUCCCGUCCAGUUUCCUGGGAACUUUCCUGGUGCAUUUAUUCACGCGAAAUUAACAUCAUAGAGGCUGUUUUUCAAGUGGAAAUAGUUCGUUGAAAAAAUGGUAGAAGGUGAAACUUCCAGAAUUGGGGAGAGAUCUACCGAGACUAUUUCAGGAGACACUUCAGGUGGGAGGCGAGAUUUGUCAAAUCGCUAUUCAGCACCUGUUAUAGGAGGCCAGAAGAUCGAUGUUGAAAAGUUUGAUGGGAAAAUCAACUUCGGCAUGUGGAGGCGCGAAGUUAUGGAUGCCCUUAUUCAAAUCGAUCUCGAUGUUGUCCUGAAAAAUAAAAGACACUUGUAUGAUGAAGAAAUUUGGGAUCGUAUGAACGAGAAAGCCUGUGGUUAGAUCAGAUCUUGUUUGACCAAGGAGGUGAAAUACUUGGUGAAAGAUGAGGAGUGUGCAGUGACUUUGUGGCGUACAUUGGAAGAGAAGUACCUGGUGAAAAGUCCUGAAAAUCGUCUUCAUGCAAUGAGCCAAGUAUAUGGCUUUCGAAUGAAGUCUGGGGUGUCAAUGCACGAUCAUGUUUCAAGAUUUGAAAAGUUACUUGCUGAUUUGAAGAAUCUUGAUGAAGAUAUUAAAGAUGAAGUUAAGGCUAUGAUUCUGUUACACUCACUACCAGAGGAAUAUAGCCAUUUUGUGACUACUUUGAUAUAUGGGAAGAGUGUGAUCGUCUUUAAAGAUGUUUGCACAGCAUUGACUAGUUUGGAGAUUCGGAAUAAUGAUAAAAAUUCUGAACGAGCAUCGUCUGAAGCUUUGGUGAGCAGAGAUUGGGCGAUGGAGAAACAGAAGAAGCGUGGUGGAAAGAAUUCUCGAUCCAAAUCGAGAAGCAGAAAUAUAGCUCGAGAUGAGUGUGCCUUUUGUCAUGAAAAGGGUCAUUGGAGAAAAGAUUGUCCAAAGGCUCAAAAGAGAGAUGGGAAGAAACCAGCAGCAGCAAACAUGGCACGGAAAGAUGAGAACUCUGAUUAUUCACUAAGUAUUACUCCUGCAGCAUAUGUGGCUAGUUCGAGUGAGUGGAUACUUGAUACUGGAGCAACCUAUCAUUUGUGUCCUAUUAAGGAAUGGUUUACGGAUUUUCGUAAUCUGGAAUCCGGUGCAGUUAUGAUGGGGAAUAAUCAACCUUGUCGCACAAUGGGGAUAGGAACAAUUCGGCUCAAAAUGUUUGAUGGAAUGGUCAGAGAACUCAAAGAGGUUAGAUUUGUUCCAGAGAUAAAGAAAAAUCUAAUUUAUGUGGGUGUUUUGGAAGCUAAAGGUUACAAAGUUACCAUUGAAGAUGGCACAAUAAAGUUUACACAUGGGGCUAUGGUGAUUCUGCAAGGGGUUCGGCGUCACAAUCUGUACUAUUUGAAGGGAGGUACAACUGAUGAAGCAAAUGUUGUUGAGGUCCACAGUGACACCACCAAGCUAUGGCAUGUACGACUGGGACAUGCAGGAGAGAAGUCUUUGCAAACUCUGAUGAGGCAUGGACUCUUAAAAGGUACCAAAACCUGUAAAUUAAAUUUCUGUGAGAAUUGUGUAGUAGGCAAGAAAACAAGGGUCAAGUUUGGUACAGCUAAUCACGAUACUCGUGAGAUCCUUGAAUAUGUUCAUAGUGAUGUAUGGGUGUUGUGCAAAUUUUAAUGUACUCGCAAGCGCACGAAUCUAUUGUAGUAUAAACUAAUGGUGACGAGUGUCGAUCCCACGAGGAGGUGGAUUUUUAAUUAUAUAUAGAAUUAAUUUUGUAAAUGGGUGGUUGGAAUUGUGGUGGAAGUGAUUUAAAAUAUGCUAAAAUUGGAAUUGCAAUGGUGAGAAUAAAUUGUAGAGAAAAUCGAUUAAAUUGACGUACUUGGGUAUCUGGAUCCGUAUCAACAUGCAUCAUGGGCUAAAUAAUCCGUAUUAAUGCUAAUUAAAUCAUGAGGGGGGAAUCCACACCUCAUGAACCACACUCUAAUCAAUAUGGUGCUAAGGGCUUAUCGUGCCAAAUAAUAAUAACCUUAUACUAAAGAGCCGGUGUAACCAAGGCGGUAUCUAGACAAGAUCAGUAUUAUUUGUCGACGACAAGUCAAAUCAUCCACAAAAACUAGAGGGGAAAAGAAAAUAAAUUUACCAAAUAAAGCCCAUGACACAUGUUGAGACUUCACCUUCAACCCAAGCUUGAAAGGAAAUUAGCUACUCAUAAUUGAACUAGGGGCAAAAUGAGAAUUUAUUAAAAUACAAAGAAAAUACAAGAUGGAGACGGAAUUACAGAAAAUGGAUCCCAAAAAUGGAUUCAGAGAUAUCAAAUUAGGGGGGGGGAGGCCCCCUUUUUAUAGAUACAUGGAGUAAAUCAUGGCCAUCGGAUUAAAAACAGUUUGGACGCUCAGGAUUGCGCCACGUCAUCAGUCAACAGUCCACGGUUUGACCACGCAGAUGAACAGUAACACGAUUUGACCUGGAUGAACAGUAACGCGGUUUGGUUGAAAAUAAUCCUGUGUGAUGCAUGCACCGUACGCGAGAUUUUUCGUCCACUAGUAUGCUGCCACGUCACCAUCAACAGUACAUAAGAAUUUUAGUCCAACAGGAUCGCGACACCUCAUCAGUCAAUGCCACAUCAUCGGUCAAUGCCACGUCAUCGAUCCGUCUAUGUGAACAGUGUCGUGAACAGUAACGUAGACAGUACCGUAUACGUGAAUAGUACCGUACAUGUGAAUAGUGUCAUUUUUCCUUUUAUGCUCCUCCUAAGGUUUUCGAUCGUCCUGAGUUCAAAAGUGAUGUCCGUUUUGCCGUCUGAUCUCUCCUUUAUUGUGAAAUGACUAUAAUGCCCCUAAAAUACAUAAAAUACUUAAUUAAAAUAACACACACGUAAUUACAUCACAAGAAGGUUAAAUACAUAAAAGUAAGAGUUGUUAGUAAGACUUGAAAUGUAAAAUGAUGGUUUUCUCCUUUAUAAAUAUGCAUUUUCUAAUACUCAACACACCCCCCAACCAGCUUAUUGCUAGUCCCUAGCAAAUAAAGCGAAAACAAAAUUCAAAUUCAAAAUGAUUUUUUUUUAUUUUUUUAUUUUUAGAAACACUCGUGUUUAUUUAAUCAGAUUAAUGAUAGCAAUCAAAUAAAAGUAUAAGCAUUAUCUCCAGUCUAAAGCAACAUCACACCCACAUCAACCAUCCACAUGAAUUAGCCCAGUAGACUUUGUUAUAGCUACUUUCAAGAAUAACAUGUCAAACCCCAAAAUCUCACUGGAAGUAGUGACACUCUCACAAAGAAAUUAAAACCCAAUAAACAUAGUCACUGCAAUGAAUGGUAAUUGAGAGAGAAAAUAAUAAAGAAAUGAUAUCACAUGCUCUCACCAAGAUGAAAUAAAUAUGCCCUCAGCUUAGAAAUAAUACGAUCUCAAGUCAAAUAAAAUGUUAGUCAACCCACUUUAUUUAUCUUUUUUUUUUUAUUAUGCAUCACUACAUCUUUUUAGCCCAUAUAACUAGCUUCUACUUCAAACUAUAGUUCCCUAAAAUCAAAAAGGACUUUUAUUAGGACGUAACGUAGGCUAGGGAUAUGGCUAACAAAGAAAGGAAAUAAGGAAAACAAAGUGUAUGUUUGAGAAAAAUGCAAAGAAUUUUUUUUUUUUUUUUUGGAAGUUGCAAGGUGGAUUUCACCUAUUAUUUUUAUUUUUAUUUUUUCUUUUGAAACAACGACUUUUGUUUUUUUUUUUUUUUUUUUUGCAUAACUUUACUGAACAACAUAAUUAUUUACAUUUUCUCAAACAUAAAUAGGUGAUGGAACUUAAAAGACAUUGGGUAAUACUCCAAAUCGGAGUGGGUCAAGAUGAUAAGUUGACAAAGAAAAGGUUUUUGUUCUUUUUUUUUUUUUUUUUAAAGGCUCAAAAGGGGUAACUAUGGAUAUUUAAUAACAUGGAUGGCUAGAAAGGCUCAAACGGAUCAAAGAUGGCCUUUCCAUCGUUUUUUAGGGCUCUAAAUAAUUAUCCAUAUCUACUAGUUAGAUGAGCCUCCCAAUGUAGCAACACACAUUUUUUUCUUUUUUCUUUUUUUUUUUAAUUUUACCAUUUUUUUUAAAGGGUUAACUCAAAAGAAAUCUAGAGAUCGUGUAUAAAAUAAUAAACUGCUAAGCUGUAUAGAGAAUGGGCAAAAGGGUUACUCUCCAAGAAAAUAAUAGGCUCAACAACUCACUUGGCACUUAUUUAUGACAUGUUCAUUCCUUCAAGCAACUCAUAUUUGUCUCCGACAUCAUCAUGUAAAGUAGCAAACAUAGCGUAACAUCACUUAAGACCAAAGAUAAUACAAAUACUAAAAUUUGAAAUUAAUCAUGUCAUCCAAUGUUAAAACAAAUCACAAAUUUUUUUUUUUUUUUAACAACAUUCUACCCCCCAACCUAUUCUAAACAUGAAAGGAAAAUAUGCAUGCAGAAAUGUGAAAAUGAUGCAUAAAAACUAAUUAGAAAAGUUACACGUAAAAUGAUAGAAAACGAAAAUGAUUUUUUUUUUUUUUUAAGAAGAUGCGUUUCUAGAGGAACUACACUCCAUAUUCAGCCAUCUUCGACUCAAAAGUUGGAAAAUGUAUAUUUAUAGAGGAGAAAUUAAAAAGAAGAAAAAUAAACAUAAACACAUAAUAAAGAAAAAGAAAAUGUCUGAAUUUUUUUUUUAAGUUUUUUUUUUUUAAACGAUGAAGAUGCGUUUCUAGAGUCACUACACUCCAUAUUCAGCCAUCUUCAACAAAAAGUUAGCAACAGUUAGUUUCUACAACAAAAAAAAUUAGUAAAAACUUAACCAAAAUUCCACAAUUGUCGAUUAUUCCCUCCCCCCAACCAGAACGAAACAUUGUCCUCAAUGUUUGAAAUGAAAGAAGUAGAGUUUAGAAGACAUCACCUGGGUGGUGCAACACAGAAAACAAUAUUUACAAGCGGAGAGUUAAAUCUAAUUUGUACUUCUUACUGCGGCUACUGUUACCAUCAUUAUGUGGAUGCUCCAACACAAAGGUCCAGGGGUCUGGCUCCGGUUUAUAAGCUUGUAACAGAUCAAGUAGCUCAUUAGCAGUGUGAGCACAAAUAAAAAGUUUUUUCACAUUAGAAGGAAUGAAAUAGUUUUUUAUUGCAUGGUUAAGAAAUGCGAUAAAGCCAUCAUAAAAGUUAUUGACAUUUAACAAACCGAUGGGUUUCUGGUGAAUGUGCAGAUGGGCCCACGAUGCUAGUGUGAUAAGUGCCUCUAGUGUUGCAAGAUCUCCUGGAAGGAAAAUAAAAGCAUCAGCAUGAUUAAGCAUUUCGGUUAUUCUUUCUUGCAUACCUGAGACGACUAACUCUUCUCCAGUUGAUGAGUCAGAGGAACUGCCCAAUGGUUUUAGGACUCUCGGGAUGAUGCCUAACACUUGACUUCCUCUGAUAAAAGCUGCUUCUGAGACCAUUUUUGAUAACCCUCGGUUACCUCCUCCAUACACCAAGUGUAAUUUUCUCGCUGCUAUGCUUCGACCAAAAUCUAUGGCUGCCUCCACGAACUCUUUAUGUUUGCCAUAGGUAAAUCCAGAAAGCACACAAAUGUUCUUGAAUUGUCUAUUGGGAGUAGCUGCCAUUGGAAUAUUUCUCAAAAACAAUUUGUGAGUGCUUGACAAAAGAUAAAUCACAUUUAAGAAUCUUGGUGACAAUGGAUCACAGCUGUGAAUGAGGUAACAUAUCAGUGUCAAAUAACGUGUAAAGCACGUGGCUCGCGAGUCAAAAAGGAAACAGUAAAAAGGAAAAAGCAAACAGUAACAAAAUUAUUAAAGACAAUAAUGCAAACAAUAAAACAACAGUGAAAUGAAAUAAAAUAACAGUAAAGUAGAAGGAUAUUUACACGUAGUUGCGACUGUGGCUCACAUCUUCCUCUGGUUUUACGUCCAGAAACGGCUUGAACGCCCUCUAUGGGUCGAGGAUCGGCUUCCCAUCCAGUUUUCUUAUAAACUGACAAACAGGGUCGUUUAUAGUCAGAUUUCCGAGACUAUAUCGUGCAUGCUCUUUCUGGAAUAAUGGCCAUAACCGGAGAAUCGCUCCUUGCACAUAUCCACUGGGAUGCGUUUCAAGAGACAAAAGGAUAUCAUCCAAUGACUCCUUAUUCAAGCCAUCCCUAAUGAAUUGAAUCUUAUCUUCCCUGUUAUCAGACACCAUUCCUAAAGAACAUGGGUUUUUAUCGCAACUCAUUCUGGCACACUUAUGACAAGCAACAGAAAUUCUUCGAGCUCGUCGUUUUCUUGCGUAAUUUCCUUUACCACAACCAGGUAUGUAUGCAAUAAAUUUAGGAGGUAACUCACCUGCCAAUCGUACUUUAGCCUCGAUUAACCAACGGAUGUCUGCAGGUAUGUUAUUCCUCAUGAGCAAUCGCAUGCGUUCAGACCGGGCUUUAUAGAUCGUAAGGAGGGCAUUCUGAGGAAGUGAAGGGAAUCGCUUGUGAAGCUUCGCUAGAAUCUCGUUUCUGUCCAUACUUUCGCCUCAGAAUGUCAGUUAUUGUAGGAAACUGAAGUAACCGACUUGAUUGUCACGGAGUACCGUUAUCCGCCAUUUCACCGGGGUAACAAACUAAAGCACACAAACAGAAAAACAAAUUAAAACACACAAAAAAAAUUAAAAUCGUCCUCUUAUUGAAUUUACCUCAAGCUCCAACUGGAUGUCGUAAACACUUCUCUCAAUGUCUCUGAGUUGGCGUUCUAAACCCUCAACAUAGGCUACUAACUCUGGUGGUUGUAGAGCCCAAAUGCGAUGUGUUUUACAAAAUUGAAUCUGCUUUUUGAGAUGAGUUUUGACACGUUGAAGUGGUUUAAGAAUGUUCAGGAGGAACGGUCUAAGUAAGGUACUCAUGAUUAAAAAUGAUAAGAGAAAACUCAAUUGUUAAACAAACACACUUAUGCAAAAAUAAUUUCAAUUAGCAAAAGAAUAAUAUAAAGAAAGAAAACAAAAUCAAAUCAACGAAAAGAAAAAAAAAUCAAUUCAAAUCUGGUGGGUCACUCAAAUUUAUUUCGGUGUCUUCUCCAUGUGGUUGGUACUCAAGAUAUGGCUUUAAUCUUUGACCAUUAACUUUAAACGUGACACCGUUCUUUGGGUCCUUAAUUUCAAUUGCCCCAUGUGGAAAAACAGUAUUAACAAUAAAGGGACCAGACCAUCGAGAGCGUAACUUACCUGGGAAUAGGUGCAAACGAGAAUUGAAUAAAAGCACUUUCUGACCUGGAGUGAACGAUUUUCUCAUAAUGUGCUUGUCAUGAAAGACUUUCAUUCGUUGCUUGUAAAUCUUGGCAUUUUCGUAUGCAUCAUUGCGAAUUUCUUCAAGUUCUGCCAGUUGUAAUCUUCUUUCUGAGCUGGCUUGCUGCAUGUCAAAGUUGAAUUUCUUGAUGGCCCAAUAUGCACGAUGCUCGAGUUCCACAGGUAGGUGGCAAGCUUUUCCAUACACUAGCCUAUAGGAUGACAUCCCAAUCGGGGUCUUGAAAGCCGUUCUGUAUGCCCAUAAUGCAUCAUCAAGUCUUAAUGACCAAUCUUUUCUGUCUGGCCUCACCGUCUUUUCUAAUAUGUUCUUUAUUUCUCGAUUGGAGAUCUCAACUUGGCCACUGGUUUGCGGAUGAUACGGGGUCGCCACUUUGUGUGUGAUUGAAUACUUUGUCAAAAGAGCUUUGAAUGCUUUGUUACAAAAGUGGGCACCACCAUCACUAAUUAUUGCUCGAGGGAAUCCAAAGCGUGAAACAAUGUUGCUUUUCAAAAAUGCUAUCACAACCUUGUGAUCAUUGGUCCUACAUGGAAUUGCUUCUACCCAUUUUGAUACGUAGUCAACAGCAACCAAUAUGUAUUGAUGACCAAAAGAUGGGGGAAAGGGUCCCAUGAAGUCGAUACCCCAUACGUCAAAAAUCUCAACCACUAAAAUUGGAUUUAGUGGCAUCAUGUUCCUUCGUGUAAUGCUCCCCAUUCGUUGACACCUAUCACAUGAAGAACAGAAAGUGUAAGCAUCUCGAAAUAUAGAUGGCCAAUAGAAACCACAUUGUAAAACUUUAGUCGCUGUUUUCUUAGCACUGAAAUGGCCUCCACAAGCUUGUUCAUGGCAGAAUGAAAUGAUAUUCUGAAUUUCACUUUCUGGGACACAUCGUCUAACAAUUUGGUCUGCACAAUACUUGAACAAAUACGGGUCAUCCCAAAAGAAAUUCUUUAUUUCCGCAAAGAAUUUAGCCUUGUCUUGCUUGGUCCAAUGCUCUGGAAGUUUACCUGUAACAAGAUAAUUAACUAUAUCAGCAUACCAAGGUAAUAUUUCCACACUCAUUAAUUGUUCAUCUGGAAAUGACUCAUUCAAUAUUAAUGGCUCUGUUAUUGUGUCAAAAUGGAGACGAGAGAGGUGGUCCGCCACAACAUUUUCUGUGCCUUUCUUAUCUUUAAAUUCCAAGUCAAAUUCCUGCAAAAGUAAUACCCAACGAAUUAGUCUAGCUUUUGCAUCUUUCUUUGUGAGAAGAUAUUUAAGAGCAGCAUGAUCUGUGAAUAUAAUUAUUUUACAACCAAUGAGAUAAGAUCGAAAUUUUUCCAAUGCAAACACUACUGCUAGCAUUUCUUUUUCAGUAGUUGAAUAAUUCAACUGUGCAUCAUUCAAUGUCAUACUAGCAUAGUAAAUAACGUGGGGAACUCGAUCAACUCUUUGUCCUAAUACUGCUCCUACUGCAUAAUCAGAUGCAUCACACAUGAGCUCAAAUGGUAAGCUCCAGUUUGGGGCCUGAAUGAUGGGUGAUGAUGUCAACAACUGCUUUAAUUUUUCAAAUGCCACAAGACAUGAAUCAUUAAAGAUAAAAGGUACAUCCUUAGCAAGUAAAUUGCAUAAGGGUCUAGAAACUUUGUCAACCUCAAUACCUUUGCUCGAAAUGAUGUGACCGAGAACAAUACCUUGUUUUACCAUAAAAUGGCAUUUCUCCCAAUUUAAGACCAAGUUCUUCUCGAUACAUCUCUGCAAAACUAGUGUUAGAUAAUGUAAACAUUGAUCAAACGAGUCACCAAAGACAGAAAAGUCAUCCAUAAAGACUUCAAGGAAUCGUUCAACCAUAUCAGAAAAAAUGCUCAACAUGCAUCGUUGAAAUGUAGCAGGUGCAUUACAUAAUCCAAAUGGCAUCCUCCUAUAUGCAAAAGUGCCAAAAGGGCAAGUGAAAGUGGUCUUCUCUUGAUCUUUUGGUGCUAUGGGAAUCUGAUUAUAUCCUGAGUAGCCAUCUAGAAAGCAAUAAAAUUCAUGGCAUGCUAAUCUAUCAAGCAUUUGAUCGAUAAAUGGUAAAGGAAAAUGGUCUUUACGUGUGACAGAAUUCAACUUUCUAUAAUCAAUGCAUACACGCCAUCCUGUAGUUACUCUAGUUGGUAUCAAUUCAUUAUCAGCAUUGGUAACUACUGUGACUCCUGACUUUUUGGGGACAACUUGUACCGGGCUGACCCAUGAACUAUCAGAAAUUGGGUAAAUGAUACCUGCGUCUAAUAGCUUAAGGACUUCUGUUCUAACAACUUCUUUCAUAUUAGGAUUUAACCGACGUUGCAUUUCCCUAGUAGAUUUAGCAUUUUCAUCAAGGUGAAUGUAAUGCAUGCAAUCUGCAGGGUUUAUACCUUUUAUGUCCGCUAUGGUCCAUCCUAAUGCUCCUUUGUGCUCUUUUAAAACAUCCAACAACUUACCUUUUUGUUCGUCAUUGAGGGAUGAUGAGAUGAUUACCGGCAGAGUACUUUCUUCUCCCAAAAAUGCAUAUUCCAGAGUGUUGGGCAAUGGUUUGAGCUCGAGUUUCGGUGGUGAUUCUGAUGAUGGGAUGAGUUUCUUUUCUGAUGGUGCUAGUUGUUCAACUCUUGACUUCCAUUUAUUAGUGUCCAUGGAUGGUGCUGAGUCAAGUAGAGCGUUGACCUCAUCAACUGAUCUGUCAAUAUCAAAAUCCAAACCAAAGUGAGUUAAGCAUGUCUGUAAAGGGUCAUCACUAAGGUUUGAAAUAAAAGUAUUAUCGACUAUUGUUUCUAUUAAAUCCACAUCAACAAUUCCAUCAUCUGCACUGUGAGGUUGUUUGGCAAUGUUGAAAAUAUUUAGCUCCAUAGUCAUGUUGCCGAAGGACAACUGCAUAUUUCCAGUCCUGCAUUGAAUGUGAGCAUCCGCAGUUGCCAAGAAAGGUCGGCCUAAGAUAAUGGGGAUGUGCUUCCUUGAAUCCUGUAUUGGUUGAGUGUCAAUUACAAUGAAAUCAACAGGAAAAUAAAACUUGUCUACCUGGAUAAGCACGUCCUCCACAAUACCACGAGGUAUUUUCGUGGACCGAUCUGCAAGCUGUAACACCACUGGAGUUGGGUGUAAUUCUCCCAGUCCAAGUUUCACGAAUACAGAGUAAGGCAAAAGAUUUACACUAGCUCCUAAAUCCAACAAAGCAUUCUCAAUUGUGUGGUUCCCUAUACUACAUGAGAUAGUGGGGGAGCCUGGGUCUUUGCAUUUUAAAGGAAUUUUAUGUUGGAGUAUAGAACUAACGUUUUCUGUUAAAAAUGCCUUCUUUUGAACAUGUAUAUUUCUCUUUUUAGUACAAAGGUCUUUAAGAAACUUGGCAUAAGAUGGAACUUGUUUUUAUAGCAUCAAGUAAAGGGAUGUUAACACUUACCUGUUUGAAGAUUUCGAGAAUCUCACCUGUGGAUUUUCCCUUUUUUCCUUUCGCUAACCUCUGAGGAAAUGGAGCUUUAGGAACAUAUUCUCGUGGGUUAGUUUCUUCUUUUUCCUCCGGUGGUGAGUCUUCAACAUUCACAGGUACAAUUUGAUUUUCUUUUGUCACCGGCAUCUCCACUUUGUUGUCGACUUCCUUUCCUUUUCGCAAGGUCAUGACUGCUUUGACCUCUCCAUGCUGUUGUGGUGAACUGGUACUUGCUUCAUGUACUCCUUUAGGAUUAGGCACUGGUUGACUUGGAAAUUUACCUUUCUCAACAGUAAUUGCCAAGGUCUGAACUGAAGAAGCAAGUUGUCCUACCAUCUUAUCGAGGCUUGAAACUGAUUGGGCUUGUGAGUUGAAGCCCGCUCUCAACUCAUUUCGUAGUCCAUCAAUAGUGCGGUUCUGUUGCUCAAUCGUAGAGUGAGUAGCAUUCUUGAAAUUCUUGAAUGAAUCCUCCCAUGGUCUAGGUUGAGAGUAGUUCUGGUUCUGAUUGUAUGAUCUAAAUGGUGGCUGAGAGGCUUGAGGAAUUUGAGGAAUUGGUUGCAUUGAUGGAGCUGGAGCUGCUGGUCCAUUCUGUUGGAGUCCUUGAGACCAUGAAAAAUUAGGGUGGUCUCUCCAUCCAGGGUUAUAUGUGUUAGAGUAUGGGUUGUAAUUUGAUGGCUUUCUCAUUACACCUAUGGCAUUGGCUUGAUCUGGGUAUGAGUCAUGGUCAUGUGGUUCUGUUGAUUUAGCAGUCGAUAACGAUGCUAUUUGUCGAGAGAGACCUUCAAUUAUUGCUUUGACUUCUUUAAUUUCUGAACUGGAUUCGCCAAUUUGAACCUCAUUUACUCCUUUAAUUCUUCUGGUAUUCCUGAGUGACCGACUCCGUUGUUGGGAAUUAUCCGCUUGUCGCUGGAAGAAUUCCCAAAUCUCUGAUGCACUUUUUGACAUUAGCUCUCCUCCACUUGUUGCCAUUAGCCAUUCUUGCACAUUUGGUAGUAAUCCCUCCAAAAAGUAUUGACAUUGGUGCCAUUUUUCGUACCCAUGAUGUGGACACUUCAAGAGUAGUCCAUUGAAUCGCUCCCAAGUUUCGAAAAACUGAUCGUCCUCUCUUUGUGUAAACUCUGAAAUUUCCCUGCGAAUAGAAUUGGUUUUAUGCACUGGGAAAUAUUUAUUUAGAAAUUUUGUAACCAUUUGUUCCCAUGAUGAAAUGCUAUUAGCAGGCAAUGUAUUAAGCCAUGAACGAGUUCUAUCCUUUAAAGAAAAUGGGAAUAAUCUAAGCUUUACAUCAUCAUCUGAAAAAUUCUCGUAUUUAAAAGUUUGACAAAUUGCAUGAAAAUCAUUCAGAUGAUUAUAUGGGUCCUCAUUUUCUAAGCCAUAAAAUGUGGGGAGACAAUUUAGCACACUAGGUUUUAAUUCAAAACUCCUAGCAGCUACAUUUGGGUAUCUUAUGCAUGAUGUGCUCAAAUUAGCUAAAGGACUAAAAUAGUCCUUAAAUGGCCUCUCCUGUGGUGCUUGUAAAUCCAUUUUAUUUUUAAAUUGUUUGUGUGUGCGAAGUGUUUUUUUCUAAUUCAAGGUCUAUAGAUUCAAGAUUUGGUAAUAAUGACCUACGACCAUGCAUGCAAAACAAAUAAAAUAAAAAUAAAGAUGGGAACAAAACAAAUAAAAAUAAAGAAGAGGGAGAAAUUACGAUACUAACCUUAUUGCGCUAUUACAACCUUUCUAUAAAAAUACACAAAAAUAAAUACGUGAAAUAAAUUAACUAAAAAUUAAAUUAAUAAAAUAAACAAAAAUUAAAAAGAAAAAAAUAAAUUGAAAAUUAAAUUACAAAAAUUUAAAGAAGAGAAAAAGAAAAGAAAUACUAACCUUUAAAUGUAAAUUCACUUUUUUUUUAAAUAAAAAAAAAUACAACAAAACAAAUAAAAGAAAUUAUUCACAAAAAUUAAUUCUAUGAAUUAAAAUUACUUACCUCCCCGGCAACGGCGCCAAAAACUUAUUGUGCAAAUUUUAAUGUACUCGCAAGCGCACGAAUCUAUUGUAGUAUAAACUAAUGGUGACGAGUGUCGAUCCCACGAGGAGGUGGAUUUUUAAUUAUAUAUAGAAUUAAUUUUGUAAAUGGGUGGUUGGAAUUGUGGUGGAAGUGAUUUAAAAUAUGCUAAAAUUGGAAUUGCAAUGGUGAGAAUAAAUUGUAGAGAAAAUCGAUUAAAUUGACGUACUUGGGUAUCUGGAUCCGUAUCAACAUGCAUCAUGGGCUAAAUAAUCCGUAUUAAUGCUAAUUAAACCAUGAGGGGGGAAUCCACACCUCAUGAACCACGCUCUAAUCAAUAUGGUGCUAAGGGCUUAUCGUGCCAAAUAAUAAUAACCUUAUACUAAAGAGCCGGUGUAACCAAGGCGGUAUCUAGACAAGAUCAGUAUUAUUUGUCAACGACAAGUCAAAUCAUCCACAAAAACUAGAGGGGAAAAGAAAAUAAAUUUACCAAAUAAAGCCCAUGACACAUGUUGAGACUUCACCUUCAACCCAAGCUUGAAAGGAAAUUAGCUACUCAUAAUUGAACUAGGGGCAAAAUGAGAAUUUAUUAAAAUACAAAGAAAAUACAAGAUGGAGACGGAAUUACAGAAAAUGGAUCCCAAAAAUGGAUUCAGAGAUAUCAAAUUAGGGGGGGGAGGCCCCCUUUUUAUAGAUACAUGGAGUAAAUCAUGGCCAUCGGAUUAAAAACAGUUUGGACGCUCAGGAUUGCGCCACGUCAUCAGUCAACAGUCCACGGUUUGACCACGCAGAUGAACAGUAACACGGUUUGACCCGGAUGAACAGUAACACGGUUUGGUUGAAAAUAAUCCUGUGUGAUGCAUGCACCGUACGCGAGAUUUUUCGUCCACUAGUAUGCUGCCACGUCACCAUCAACAGUACAUAAGAAUUUUAGUCCAACAGGAUCGUGACACCUCAUCAGUCAAUGCCACAUCAUCGGUCAAUGCCACAUCAUCGAUCCGUCUAUGUGAACAGUGUCGUGAACAGUAACGUAGACAGUACCGUAUACGUGAAUAGUACCGUACAUGUGAAUAGUGCCAUUUUUUCUUUUAUGCUCCUCCUAAGGUUUUCGAUCGUCCUGAGUUCAAAAGUGAUGUCCGUUUUGCCGUCUGAUCUCUCCUUUAUUGUGAAAUGACUAUAAUGCCCCUAAAAUACAUAAAAUACUUAAUUAAAAUAACACACACGUAAUUACAUCACAAGAAGGUUAAAUACAUAAAAGUAAGAGUUGUUAGUAAGACUUGAAAUGUAAAAUGAUGGUUUUCUCCUUUAUAAAUAUGCAUUUUCUAAUACUCAACAAUGGGGACCAACCAAGACUACAUCAAUUGGUGGAAGCCAUUAUUUUGUUAUAUUUGUUGAUGAUUUCUCUAGACGUGUAUGGGUGUACACCAUGCGAGCAAAGGAUGAGGUUCUAGAGAUUUUCGUGAAGUGGAAGAAAUUGGUGGAGACUCAAACUGGCAGAAAGAUCAAAGUAUUACGAUCUGAUAAUGGGGGUGAAUAUACUUCUGAUCCAUUCUUGCAAGUAUGCCAGAACGAGGGUAUUAAAAGACAUUUCACGGUGAGACAUACUCCGCAACAGAACGGUGUGGCUGAGCGUAUGAAUCGUACUUUACUGGAGAAGGUACGAUGUAUGUUAUCUAAUGCUGGUUUAGAUAAAAAGUUUUGGGCUGAAACUGUGAGCUACGCAAGUCACUUGGUAAAUCGGUUGCCUUCUGCUGCAAUUGGAGGUAAAACUCCUAUGGAAAUGUGGUCUGGAAAGCAUGCACAAGACUAUGAUUCCCUUCGUGUAUUCGGGUGUCCAGCUUAUUAUCAUGUCAAAGAUGGUAAACUGAAUCCUCGUGCUAGAAAAUCUAUCUUUGUGGGAUUCAAAGGUGGAGUAAAGGGCUUCAAGCUUUGGGAUCUCGAAGAUAAAAAGUUUGUGUGUAGCAGAGAUGUCACAUUUGAUGAAGCUUCAAUUAUAAAAGCUUCAAGUUCUCAGCAGGUGGAGAACAAGACCACAGAGGUAUUGCAGCGGGUGGAGUUUGAUGCAACUCCAUAUGUACCAGUUAGUUCUACAUCAAAGAAUGGUUCAACUAUGGAGGUGACACCUAAAGUUGAAGAAGAGGUUGUUUCUUCUGAUGUCCCACAAAAUGAAGAAACAAUUGAUGAUGUAGAUGAUGAUGAUUUUAUAGCAACAAGGAGGCCAAAAAGAGAGAUAAAGAAACCCGGAUGGCUUACUAAAGAUAUGGUGGUAGCCUAUGCACUUCCAGUUAUUGAUGAUGACAUCCCCAAUACUUUCGGUGAAGCAUUACGCAGCAAUGAAAGUGAUCAGUGGAAGCUAGCCAUGGAGGAAGAGAUGAAAUCUCUCCAUCAAAACCAGACUUGGGAACUUGUAAAGUUACCAAAGGGGAAAAGGGCUAUUGGCAAUAAAUGGGUCUACACCAAAAAGCAAGGAUCUCCGAAUCAAACAACUCCUCGAUACAAGGCAAGGCUUGUGGCAAAAGGUUUUGCUCAAAAGGAAGGUAUUGACUACAAUGAAGUUUUCUCUCCAGUUGUAAAACAUACUUCCAUUCGUAUCCUACUUGCCUUAGUUGCAGAAUAUGAGUUAGAGUUGGCUCAGUUGGAUGUUAAGACGGCGUUCUUACAUGGAGAUUUAGAGGAGGAAAUCUAUAUGAUUCAGCCUUGUGGUUUCAAAGUUGCUGAAAAGGAGAAUCAUGUGUGUAGGUUGAUUAAAUCUUUGUACGGACUGAAGCAAUCGCCAAGGCAGUGGUACAAAAGAUUUGAUCAAUUUAUACAAGGGCAGAAAUUCACCAGAAGUGAACACGAUCAUUGUGUUUACUUUAGAAGACUACCAGAUGGAGCUUUCAUCUAUUUGUUACUCUAUGUCGACGAUAUGCUUAUAGCUUCGAAGAAUAGAGAUGAGAUCGAAAGAUUAAAGAAGCAGCUGACUUCUGAGUUCGAGAUGAAAGACUUGGGUGAUGCACAAAGAAUACUUGGGAUGGAGAUUCAUAGAGACAAGAAGAAUGGGAGCGUAUGGUUGACUCAAAAGUCUUAUUUGAAGAAAGUGCUAGAAAGAUUCGGUAUGGAUGACAAAACUAAACCGGUAUGUACACCUCUAGCUCCUCAUUUCAAAUUAAGCUAUUCUUCAUGUCCUAGAUCUCAAGAGGAGCGCGAUUACAUGGCUCGUGUUCCAUAUGCUAGUGCUGUGGGUAGUCUUAUGUAUGCUAUGGUAUGCACAAGGCCCGAUAUAUCUCAAGCAGUGAGCAUAGUUAGUAGAUACAUGCACAAUCCGGGUAAAAAUCAAUGGCUUGCGGUAAAGUGGAUUCUCCGAUAUCUGUAUGGGAUAGUUGAUGUUGGGUUAUUGUUCAAGAAGGAUUGUGGUCAACAAUGUGUUGGGUAUUGUGAUUCUGAUUUCGCUGGAGACCUUGACAAGCGAAGAUCAACAACGGGCUACGUAUUCACAUUGGGUGGAGGUCCGGUUAGCUGGAGGUCGAUUAUACAAUCGACAAUUGCUCUGUCCACUACGGAAGCAGAGUAUAUGGCAGCAACUGAAGCUGUAAAAGAAGCUAUCUGGUUGAAAGGCUUGUUAGGUGAUUUGGGAGUAAUCCAGGAGAACAUUGCGGUCUUCUGUGAUAAUCAAAGUGCGAUAUUCCUUGCGAAGAAUCAAACAUAUCACGCUCGGACGAAGCAUAUAGAUGUGAAAUAUCAUUAUGUGAGAGAGAUUAUCAAGAGCGGUGUUGUGUUGUUGAGAAAGAUCGAUACCAAAGAUAAUCCAUCAGAUAUGUUGACGAAGGUAGUUUCUGGAGUUAAGUUUCAACAUUGCUUGAAAUUAAUUCAAAUCCUUCGAUUGUGUUAAGAUAUAUCCUUCGGGAAUUAUGAACUACGGUUGGCUUGAUCCCAAAUUUUGGGUACGUAGGCAGUCGGAUAGAUGCAGCCAAUGUGGAUCCUUUUGAGGAUCAUGUGAGGGAUGAAGUUUGGCGGAUCAUUGUCAAUCGGCUCAGAUUUGGAUAAAUUUUCGCCGAGGUGGAGAAUUGUUGAAAAGUCAGAAGCAAAUGCCAACUUUGCAACUGUUAGCAUGAAGGCUUUGGAGAAGCAAAAUCCAAUUUGGUUUUUGUUAGCCGAAAAGAAAGAAUGGAAAAAGGGGAUGUAUUGAAAAUAAUAAUAAUUAUUUAUUAUAUUUUCAAUUAUUUUAUUCUUUGCAUAGUGCCAACAUUUUUCCUAUAAAUAGCUUAGGAUUUCAUUCAUUUGAAAUCAUCCCAAAAUUGUUAAGCUUAUAAGUUUCUAAGCUUUUGAGAGAAGUGAGAGAAGUGUGUCUGGGGAAUUUAUCUUUCCUGCAGAGUGUGAGAGUACUGGGUAUAUUUGGGUUUCUGGGAAGUGAGAUUCGUUACUCAAAUAUUGUAUUCUAUUAAUUGUUAAAUAAACAAUUAUUCUUUCUUGCCUCCGUGGAUGUAGGUUUAAUUACCGAACCACGUAAAUUCUUGUGUCCUUUAUUUUUCAGUAAUUUUUUGUGCGCUUGAUUCCGCAUUCUGCGCACAACAAGGCCAUCACUUUAAAAUUUGAACAUGCAAGGAAUAUUAUUCGGCGUUUCCAGUACCGAUCUCCACGAAUCACCAUUAACCUCUAGGAAGACCUAAAAGACUUAGAAUUUAUAGAUCUUGAAAUCUUCUCAUUCUCGAGCAAUCAACAUAAAAAAUUGUAAUUAAUACUGAAAAAUAUGAUUGUUAUGUAAUCAAAGGUAAAAAUUAAGAAAUUAUUUGGUAGCAAUGGAGGUUCCUAAUAAGUUUUAGUGGUCAAAGAAAAUUUUGUUUAGAUUGCACAUGGCCAAGGGUGGAAAAUUAGAAUAAGUAAGGAGUAAGAAAAUAAGAACGAGAAAGUACAAUUAAUAGACGGGUAAGAAGAAUAUAUAGAGGCGGUAGAUAUGAAAGCGAAAGACACGAGGCAAAUAGCGUGAAAAUCACAAGUGAAAUAAGAAUAUUGUUUUUGGAUUUCUUCCCCCAAGACCCAUUCGUUUUCCACUACGCACAACAUUUGAAAAUGUAAUUGCAUUAAAAAAAUGUAUAAUAAGAAUUUAUAAAUUUAUUUUGUACAAAUUAAUAAGAUGUACCUCUAUCAGUUAAAGUAAAUCAUGUGGAACAUUACCAAUACAGAUUGAUUAGGAGCCAAGGAGGUGCUCAUGCAACUUCAUGCAGACCAUGUUUCACAUGCGGGAUGAAUUUGUUUGAGUGUCGAAGCAAUAGCGGGAGAACCACCACGUCAAACUAUUUGUUGCCGGUGUGGAAGAGAAUCAAAUUGUGGUUGUCAUGUUUGAUUUGGAUUCGGUCACUAGGUUUAUCUUUAGAUGUUUUUUCUUGUUUUAUUUUACUAUAUUCUAGCUGAUAUUGUUGGCUAAGAACCAAAGACUUGUGAUGUUAGCUACUAUAAAUAAGUUUCCCACUGCGAAUAAAGGGAGGGAACAAUUAUCAAACUAAAUUAUCUCUAGUCGUUCUCACCAAAAGCAUAACAACAUUAUCAUCUUUUAAUCAUUGUUAGCAAGCAUCUGACUGGGGCCUAUCAUAGUCAUGCCUAGUGACAUAGCAAGACUUUAAACCCAAUAAAGGUAAAUGUAAUUUACACAAAGAAUUUGAUUUUCCUCAAGUGUUAUUAGAUAAUUUUAGAAUUAAUAUACUCAUUUAAGGUGAUUUUGAUGACAAAAUUAUAAUUUUGAGCAUUUUUUUUGUAUAUUAUUCAAGUUGGUAGGGAGAUAAAAUUUUUAGUUGAAAUAAAAAAAUAAAUUUUUAUGAAAAAAUUAGUUCCACUACUAUUUAUGACACGAUAAUUCGUACAAAAUAAAUUUAUAUAAGAAUUUGUAAUUAAGUCGCUGCCAUAAAUAUGUAACCUCAUGAUGGACUUGAACUUGUUUGUUAGUUUAUACUCAUUUAUCUUCAUAUAGCUAUAGUUCUAUAUUAUAUGAAUUUCACUACUGAGUUUUAUCUAAUGACAUUAAUGAACAUGAUUUUAAGAAGUCCCGCUCUAGUUUUCGUAAGUAGCUCGGUUCAUUAAUUUGUAACACUAACUAAUAAGGCCCUCUUAACAUAUUAAAAAAAAAACUGAUUGGCUAUUAUCUUAUAAUGGUAGCUAGGUUAAAGGCAUUCGGUCAAAUGUUAGAAACAAUGCAAUUUUAAAAAGCCAACGGGAUUCCAACCCCCCCCCCCCCCCCCCAAAAAAAAGCCAAUGGUAAAAGGUCAUCAUCAAUUUUAUGUUUUGAACUCCUUAAUCUGUAAUGAAUUUUAAUUUUCCCCCUGUCUUGCGUAAUUAAUUUAAUUAUUACACACAUUAAGAUCAAGGUAACAUCUCUUUUAUGUGUAGUAAAUGACUUUUCAAUGUUUUGUUCUUUAUGUUCUUCACUCAAAAUUGUUCAAAACAGUAAAAGUAAUGGACAUAAAAGUACAGAUAGGACAAUUGCUUACUAAUCUGAUUUAAAUUCUUGUGUGCAGUACUACAAUUAUAGAGUGAAGAUGAUAAAUUUUUAUCAUAAUAGAUGUAGUCAACAAUGUGACAGUAUAGCAAAGUACUGUUAAUCAAUACCAAUUUUCUUUGUUAUUUAUCAUGACAUUUCUCAAUGUGUACUGUGAGUUUAUAUCUCAAUUUUAUUCGUGAAUAAUUUUUUAGUUCUUAAAAAUAGACAUUUAAUUAAUAAGACACCUUGGUUUGAUUCAUAUACGCACAUUCUGAUACUUACCAAAAAAAAAAAAUCUGUAUGUCUAAUUUUUAGUCCUAAUAUUGAUUGGCUAGUUGUUUCUGACAUUUUUGCCCAUAUAUAUAGUUCUCCUUAUAAGGAAAGAAAUCUAAUAAUAUUAUGAUCUUUAUCCUUAUUUAGUUAUGGCAUAAAAGAGUUUAAUUGUGGUAGUUAGUCCUAACAUUGACUGGCUAGUUGCUUUUAACAUUUUUGCCCAUAUAUAUAAUUCUCAUUGUAAGGAAAGAAAUCUAAUAAUGUUAUCAUCUUUAUCCUUAUUUAGUUAUGGCAUAAAAGAGUUUAAUCAUGGUAGUAUUGUUCUUAUGUGUCUACUCUUUUGCAUAGUUGUCUUUGUUAUUAUUUUGGUAAUCUAUUAAAAGAAUCUAAUUGAAUACUAUUUAUUUACGUUAAGAUUCUCUAGCUAUUAAUUUUCUUUUAUUUCUUUGCUUUCUCUCUCUCUCUUUUUCAAAUUUCCAUAUUUAGAGAUACUUAAUUAGUACAUACGUGUAGUAUUAUUUUCGUAUGCAAUACCUGAUUUAGGAAUGUUUUGUUAUUCAUGUCCCUUCAAAAGUUUUCAAAACAAUAAUAAUAAUGCAUGAAAAAUAAUAAUAUUGCAAAUCUCAUAAUGAUGACUAAUCAGAGUUCAAUUCUUAGUUGCAGUAUUACACUUACAAAUUUAAAAUGUAAAAUCUUUACUAUAAUUAAUGUAGUAAAUAAUGUGGCAUUAUAACAUCUUCUCAUUGUGUCACAUGAGUACGCAAAUUAUUAUAUCUUAAUUAUAUAAUUGUAUAAAUUUUUUUCUCAAAACUAAAAAUUUAACUAAUAAGACACAUGGUUUGAUUCAUGUACAUAUCAUUACAUAUACCUCCCCACCCCCCCCCCCCCCCCUCCCCCUAAAAAAGUGAUGAUAGAGUUGCAAACUCUUUAGCAAAUUUAUUUUGUACAAAAUGAUAUGAUUUAAAUUUAUUCGUUGAAUGAAAUACAGAAAAUAAAAAUAGAUCAUGUAAACCAACAAUUAUUUAGUCUAACUAAUUAAAUUAUACCACAUUAAUUUAUUCAAAUGUUUUUUUUACUAUAUCUUAAAAAAGAAAGAAAGAAAAUCUAUAUUUUAAUUGGCUAGUUGUUUUCACCCAUAUAGAGAAUUCUCCUUGCAAGGAAAGAAAUCUAAUACUUGUAUCAUCUUUAUCCUUAUUUAGUUUUCUUAUAAAACAGUGUAACUGUAAUAGUAGUGUUCUUAUCCCAUCGACCUUUUUGUAUAGUUGUCCUUAUCCUUCUUUGGGUUCUUUUUCAGUCCUAACAUUAACUGGCUAACCGUUUUUGCACAUACCAAAUCCUCCUUGUAAGGAAAGCCGAUAAUAUUAGCAUUUUUGUCCCUAUUUAGUUCUCUCAUGAAAGAGUUUAAAUGUACUAAUAUUAUUCUUAUCCCUUACACCCUUUUGCACAUUUGUCUUUAUCCAUCAUUUUAUGUCUUUUAGUUGUCUCUUAUAUAUUUUCCUUUUUAUGAGUUGAUUAUUUAGUUAUCUCAUUAAAGAGUUUGAACAAUAAAAUACUAAACCUGCACAAAUAAAUUAUGUGUCACUCAUUUAUUAGUAUGCGACGUUAAUUGGAAUACAAAUUAAGAUCUAAUUAUUAGGAUCACUAGCCCUAUUAUUAUUAUUAUUAUUAUUAUUAUUAUUAUUAUUAUUAUUAUUAUUAUUAUUAUUAUUAUUAUUAUUAUUAUUAUUAUUAUUAUUAUUUAUACGGUGUUCUAUCAUAUCUUAUGCUGGUGAUUGCCACUAGAUUAUUUCUUUAAAAUGCAUACUCAAGUUGUAAUACCGGUACUGUAAAUUUCUUGAAUGACAAUAAAAUCGUUUGGAUGCAAGCUAGUUUAAUUGGUAAAAUCUCUUGAGUGAAAACAAGAAGAGUAAUGAUAUAGUCACAAACUCUUGUACAAACUUAUUUUUUACAAACUGAUAUGAUGUUAGUUCAUUGGUUGAAUUAAAUAUCUCUUGGUCCACAUGAUUUAUUAUAUUAUUUUAUAUUUUCAUUCAAUCAAUGAAUUAAUGUCAUAUCAGUUUAUACAAGAUAAGUUUGUAUAAGAAUUUGUGGCUGUAUCGAUCACUCUACAAAAUUUAAGAUAUGUAAUACUACUAGAGAAAAUAUUUAGCUAUUCCUAGACUAAAAAAUAAAUGGCUACACUUCACUAUAAAUUUGCCACCUACAAUCUCUCAAGUUGCAGUUAACAAGCAUACAUCUCUCUUUAUAAACCCAUCUUCUCCCCUUUCCUUUUCGUACAGUUCCAAAGCUUUUGCCAAACAAAUCAGAUGAACGAUAUGCUCUUCAAAAUACUUAAAAAUCAGUGAAAGCUAUUGAAUGGAGAGUCUAUUUGAAUUAUUCAAAUACUUCACCGCGUUUCAUAUUGAUUAUGAAACAAAAGUGUGGCCUCUUCUUAUUAGUAUAGAAGAGAGAUCAAGAUAUUUGAAUUACGUCGGAUUAGCGAUUUACCAGAAUGUUUCUGUUGAAGCUACGCAUCGGUAUUUCUUUAAUCUUAAUUUUCUUUCUCAUUGAGUAUGAAUUUCAAGUACUACCAAUUAUGUUUGACAAAAUAUCUAUACAUUGUGAUAGGGAAAUAAAAAUUUAUAUUAUUUCUGCGAAGAUCAACGAAUGCGGCGGACACGAGAAGGUAUGCUGCGUAAUUAUAAUCUCUGUUUAUUAAUUAAAAAAGUGAUUUUUUUUCUUUGUUUUGGAAAAUUCUUCUCUGUUUUUUUAAAACAUGAUCGCAUAAUUGUUUUCUCUGUUCUGGGAUCAGGACACGAGAGCACCAUAAUUUGCAUUCACAUAGACAACAACAAGGGAUUUUUAUUAACAUAUUUUUAUUGUUUUGCCUUUGUCAAAUGCAUUCGAUUGCAGGUACUAUACGACGAGAACCGGGACUGUCCUGCGUUCUUGUGGAAUCAGCUCGAUUCAUUUUCAUACUAGGGAUCAAAUCUUGGAUUCGCCACUGCUGGAAUGGCUUGAACGGAUGAACUUUGUCACAUAGUGUGCAUUCAAGCUGCAGCAUAUAUAUCUUCUCCUGGGUGCUUGUGUCACCAAGGACUUGGGUAAUCUGACGGCGCUUGGAAACAUCACUGUGUUAUAAUUGAUUAAUUCCGUCAUCAAAUUAUUCUCAAUGUGGGUAAAUCCAUACUUGUUGAUCCACAUUGGGACAAGUUCUGGGACCGCUGGAAUUACAAGGUUUUCCACAUUGAGCAUACGAAGAGCCUGAAAAUUAGAUUCGCAUACCAGCACCGGUGGUUGCACUGGCGGUUUGAAUUUCAAGAUUUUCAACAUUAAGCUUACCAGCAGCCUGAAAGUCGAUCAGAUUCGCAUUAGAACUUGUUCCAGGCAGACAUAUAUUGAAAUGAAAAAUAUGACACAUACAGCUGAUUAUUAGUAGCUUCAGCACCAGCGCUUGCAGAUUCGAUUUGGGCGAAUAGUUUUCGGCGUCAUUGUUCCUUUGUAAACCCAUGGACCCUGUAAAAUUGAAGUGAUGUGAAUACUCCCAAGUUAAAUGAAAACUGGUGGUUGUAAAAUAUGUAUGUACUGGAUUGAUUAUACGAGAACACACAGAAUGAAGUGAUGAAUACUCCCAAGUUUUUCUUAAACCGAACCGAUUACUUCACAAAAACUAAAAUAAAUAAAAUUUCAUAAAAAUUUAAUCUAAAUAAAUCAGCUCGAUUCCACUUUACUUCCCCAGAUUAUUGUAUUCAAUUGAAAUAUUUGUUGAAAAGUAUAUUUAGAUUAUCACUGUAGUAUUGCGUGUGUUUAUCAAUUAUAUUUUCAUGAAUAUGUUUUAAAAAUAAUCUAACCAUUAAAACAUAGUUAUGCUGGCAGAUUGAAUUAACCGUAAUUUUUAUCUUUAUUUUAUCUUAUACCUUUACAUUAUUGGUUUCCUAUAGUUUAUUAUUAGUGCUUCUCAAAGGGAAAAUCAUAUUUAAAUUAUAAUAAUUUAAUAUAAAUUAUUAGUUUAGCAAAAUUUGGUUUGGGGAUUAACAGGGAAAAAUUGGGAGAUCGAAUGACAAAGUUAAUCUCUUAACCAGUAACAAUAACCGUUCAUGCAAUCUAUUCCUUUUUGGGAAAAUGUAAAAUUAAUUGCUACUUUAAUUAAUGUUUUCAUAAAAUAAAUAAUUAAUGAACAUUAGCAAUUUUGAUAGGCACACAUACAUACAUACAUAGAAACUAAGCCUGGAACCGGAUUGGGGCCUGUGGAACACAUCCAAAGGUCAUAAUUUGCUGCACUUAGUGGACAGCACCACGUGCAGCAAAUAAAUAAAUAAAUAAAAUAAGGUAAAGGUCAAUCUAACGCGCCAAUCCAAUUCCAGAGCUUAGUUAUAGUUCAGAAUACUGGACUGAAAAUUCAUAUAAUAAAUAAUAAAAAUAAUGACAAUAAUAAGUUAAAUGGUAUUUUGUAAUUUGAAAUAAUUUAUUCCACAUAUUAAUAAUAAUACAGUUCAUUCCGAUUCUGAUUUGUACAGUUAAGAUAAAUAAUGAAUUUUGAUUCUUAUUCUAGCUCAUUUCAAUUCAACCCAUUCUAAUUACGAAUUAGUAAAUGCAAUAUAUAUAUAUAUAUAUAUAUAUAUAUAUAUAUAUAUAUAUAUAUAUAUAUAUAUUUCAAAUAGUGAUUGAAAGGAAAACAUUGAUUCGUAUUACCUAAGAUAUUUAAAAGGAGGAGGCCACCACUUUAAAAUUUGGACAUGCAAGCGAUAUUCUUCGGCGUUUCAAGUACCGAUCUCCAAGAAUCACUGGCCAUUAACCCCUGGGAAGACCAAAAUGACUUAGAAUUUGUAGAUCUUGAAAUCUUCUCAUUCUCGAGCAAUCGACAUAUGUAAAAAAUUGUAAUUAAUAGUAAAAACAUGGUAGUUAUGUAAUCAAAGGUAAAAAUUAAGAAAUUAUUUGGUAGCAAUGGAGGGUGGAAAAUGAGAAUAAGUAAGGAGUAAGAAAAUAAGAACGAGAAAGUAAGGACUAUAAAAAAAAUGGUAGUUAUGUAAUCAAAAGUAAAAAAUAAUAAGUUUUAGUGGUCAAAGAAUUUUUUUUAGAUUGCAAAUCGCUAAGGGUGGAAAAUGAGAAUGAGUAAGGAGUAAGAAAAUAAGAACGAGAAAGUACAAUUAGUAGACUGGUAAGAAGAAUAUAUAGAGGGGAAAGAUAUGAAAGCGAAAGACACGAGGCAAAUAGCGUGAAAAUCGAAAGCGAAAGAAGAAUAUUAGUUUUGGAUUUCUUCCCCUAAGAAUCAUUCGUUUUCCGCUACACACUGUAUUUGAAACUGUGAUCGCGUUAAAAAAAAUUGUAUAAUAAGAAUUUAUAAAUUUAUUUUGUACAAAUUGAUAUGUUGUAAUUAUAUUGUUUAAAGUAAAUUAUGUUUAUAAACAUAUUUUGUACAAAUUUAUUAUGUUUUUUUUUUAAAUGGAAAAGAUUUCAUUAACCAAAAGGAAUUACAGACUAUUUAAUAGCCACAAAGGUGGAACGAAAUUCCACUCCUGGGGACCUGACAUAGAACUUACUGCUCUUGCAACAGAGUGAGCAGCAAAGUUCGCAGACCGACAUACAAACGAGAAUUUCACUUCUCCUAAAGACAUAACUAGAGCUCGACAUUCUUCGAUAAUUAAUCCAAAACCAUUUGGACCUGAAAACUCCUCAACCAAAGCUCGGAACACUUGUUGGCAGUCCAUCUCUAUAAUAACACAAGGAAACUGCAACCCUUUAAGCCAACUAAGAGCUUCACAGAUGUCAAGAGCUUCAGCUUCCCGAGCUCCAAAAUUUCCUGCCAUACCAGCACACUGUGCUGCCAAGAAACAUCCUUCUGAAUUUCGAAGCACACAACCAAACCCAAUCUUUCCCUGAGAUGCAAAAACAGCUGCGUCCACAUUGCGCUUAACCCAGCCAAACUUAGGCUUCUCCCAACACAAUGCCCCAUAAACCUGCCUGGGAACAUCAUCAUUAACAUAAUACAGUUGCUUCUUUACUGCUUGCCACUGAUAAAGAAGCUGCCCAGCUGAGUUAACUGUUAAGAACUUGAUAAGCUGAGCUAGCUUUGUUGUUCCAAACUCUAUCAUUGCGAUUAAUCCAAAUCCUCCAGCAAAGCAUAACAACAAUAUUGCACUCAUCUUUAUUGCAACGUGUAAAGAUGUGAUCAAGCCAAUCCAAGAAAGAAGAGCAGUGGCCAACAAAACCCACAGGGGAAGAGAUUCAACAAGACUUAGCAAAGCUGCACUCAAUCAAAGAAUGUAUAACAGUUUCCUCAUAAGCAUUGCACACAAUACAAGUAGAGGGAAUAUCCACCCUUUUAGAAAUUAAAUUAACUGCAGUAGGCAACACAUUGGCUGCAUCUCGCCAAAUAAAAUUCUUAACCUCUUUCGGCACAUUUAAGUUUCACAGUUUUCGCCAUACACCUGCAAAAAAAUCAGGGGUAGUAGAAGUUAAUAGCUUAUAACAGCUACGAACCGAAUAGCAACCUCGAGAGUCAGCCAACCAAUACCACACAUUAUUAUCUCGGCGGGAACUAAGAGGAAUUUACAGAAUCAAUGCUUUAUCUCUUGAGUUGAAAAUGUUCGAAACCACAUCAUCAUCCCAUACUCGUUAGUUAGACAUCAUUAUACUACUUACAGAUGUUGUAGCAAGUUCCUCGUUCAGAUUAGAAGAAAUAAAGCCAUCAUUGAGAUCUGGAAGCCACGGAUACUUACUGAUGGAAAUCGUUUGUCCACUGUCAACUUGCACUCUACUCCCUUGAAUCACCACGUCCUUUGCUGCCAAAAUAGAGCACCACACAUAGCUGGGAUUGUGCCCUAAAGAAGCUCGAAGAACAGAAGUUCGUGGAUAGUAGCGAGCUUUGAGAAUUUUAGCCAUAAGAGAAUCAGGACGAGUUAAUAAUCGCCACAGUUGUUUUCCUAGCAUCGUAAUAUUGAAUAGAUGAAGUUGUUUAAAGCCAAGGCCACCACAACCCUCUGGUUUGCACAAAUAUUCCCAUCUAACCCAAGUAAUCCAUUUCCCUCCACUGUGAUUGCUACGCCACCAGAAGGAAUUCAUAAUCACUUCUAAUUCUCUACACAACUCAUUUGGCAGCAAGUAAAUGUUCAUAGCAUAAUUAGGCAUAACAAGUGCCACAAUCUUUAGUAAAAUCUCUUUGCCAGCCCAAGAGAGCAUCCGCGUACUCCACCAUUAAAGUCUUUGCCAGAGCCUGUCCCGAAUAUAUCUGAAGACUUCUUUCUUUUUCCUACCAAUGUAUGAUGGCAGACCAAAAUAGGCUCCAUGAUUAGUGGUGUUGGUAACCAUAAGAAUAUCACAUACUUGCCGAGUUCCAACUUCAAGCACAUUAGCACUAAAUGAGAUUAAAGACUUGUUAAAAUUAACCACUUGGCUAGAGGCUCGACCAUACGCCGCCAGCAAAUGCUUAAUUAAGGAAGCUUCGUUGAUGUUUGCCCGAAAGAAAAUAAAGCUAUUAUCUGUAAAAAAAAAAAAAACAAAUGCUUAAUUAAGGACACCGUCGGAGCUCCUCUCGCAAAUUUGACUCCAUGAAGCAAGCCAUUUCUUUCUUGCCUUCGAAUUAAUGAGCUUAAACCUUCCGCACAAAUAAUGAAUAAAUACGAAGAUAAUGGAUCUCCUUGGCGAAGACCUCUGCAAGGAACAAUCAGACCAAUCACCUUACCCUCACGGAGCACACUAUACCGGACAGUAGAAACGCAGAGCAUAAUUAAGUCCACCCACAUCGCAUCAAACCCCAGCUUGAGCAUCAUAGCUUGAAGAAAGUUCUACUCAAUCCUGUCAUAUGCCUUAGACAUAUCAAUUUUCAAAGCAGCUACCCCAUUUUUUCCUUGCCGCUUUCGCUUCAAGAAAUGCGAAAGUUGAGUAUGGAUGGUUGUUGUAUCGGCAACCCUAGUAUGUCUACUACUAGAGGUGUUCUUCGUGAUCUCUAGGGAGUAGUCUUAGCUGCCUUUGGUUCUUUCUUGGGGCACUAGUUAAUACCGUUUGCUGAGCUAAUGGCUAUGCUUGAAGAGUUGGAUCUUGCUGCUCAGCUGGGGUUUAAUGUUCUGGAGGUGGAAGCUGACUCGACCAUUGUGGUUUCUUGGGCUAAUUCUCAUUGUUAUGUGUGGUGGGGAUAUGUUUAUCUCCUUGGUCGGAUUCGUACUUUAUCUUCUAGUCCUUCUAUUGUUAUUAACAAUGUCUUUCAGGAGGGUACUUUUGCCACAGACUCUAUGGCCAAUUGGGCAUGUACUCACCAAACUCAUCAGCGAUUCUUUAGCACUGGAGAUCUUCCUUCUAGUUUAUUUGGCAUCCUAGAUUUAGAUGAUCUCAAGUUCUCACAUGUUCGACAUUGAUUUUGUUUUAUUAGUUCUUUUAUUUUUUUGUUUGUUUUUAUUUUUUCUGGGAAGUUUUGGCUUAUGUUCCUCUCCUCAUGUUACUUUCAUUAUCUGAUUUAUAUUAUAAAUAGAGGUUUAACCUAAACCCAUACCUUCAUGGUGGUUUAAAUUAAAAAAUAAAAAAUUAUGUACAUGAUUCUUAAAUAAAAUUUUUCCAUAAAUUUGCAUAGAAAUAUUAUUUCUGCCGCUGGAAUGAUUUUUUUUUAUUUGAAUUCACUUAGGCAAUGUGUAAAUGAUUUGUUAAUUCCAAUCUAUUAAAUCGAAUGACGUGUUAUUGUGCUGAUUGUUUAAUUGAGACAAAAAUGCAUGCCAAAUCGUUGCUGAUAAAAUGCCGAUCCGUCACGAUUAUCUUGAUUUUUUAUUUUUCCAUUUCGUUAAGGGAUCCAGUUAAAUGAAAAUUAUAAUUUGUUAAUUUAAUUUUACUAAGUACAUUUGUUAAUUUAAUUUAAAUUAAAAUAAUGGGUUGCAAAUUGAAAAUAAAGUGAAAUGGGCUGCUGCCGUGGCCUGGGGCUGCGGUCCUUUUUUCGUUAUUUUCAGUUAAAUGAAAAUUAUAUAUAUAUAUAUAUAUAUAUAUAUAUUCUGGACCGCAAUUAGUGCAACUAGGAUUUUUCCAUUUCGUUAAGGGAUCCAGUUAAAUGAAAAUUAUAAUUUGUUAAUUUAAUUUCAUUAAGUACAUUUGUUAAUUUAAUUUAAAUUAAAAUAAUGGGUUGCAAAUUGAAAAUAAAGUGAAAUGGGCUGCUGCCUUGGCCUGGGGCUGCGGUCCUUUUUUCGUUAUUUUCAGUUAAAUGAAAAUUAUAUAUAUAUAUAUAUAUAUAAAAUAUAUUCUGGACCGCAAUUAGUGCAACUAGGAUUUAACUAGUCGUCUAGAUACCAUACUAAGUUAUUAAUUAGGACUAAAUUUUCUUUUAAAUCCUUAUUAAUUAUAAAUUGGGCCUUACAAAUAUGAACUAACUAGAAAAUAGAACCGCGUUUCACGCGGCUUUGAAAAAAAAUUAGUAUUAUUUUUUUUUAUUUUACACUUGAUGAAACUGAUAAAAAAAUAUGAAUUGACUUUUUUUUAAGAUGAGGCAGCCUUAUAAAAAACAAAAAAAAAAACUAUUAGCCAGCAAUACAAAAAAAGAAGCAACACAAGAUAAAGAAUAAAAUGAGAGAAUAUAUUAUAGAGUGAUUUUAUUCAUUCCAAUUGUGUGUGUACAAAAUAAAAAAAUGAGCUCUCCUUUUAUAGUUACAUAAUCACUCCAUGAAAUUAAUGAAAAAUUAUGGAUCAUAAUUCCUUAUGAGAUAGUGGGAGUUAUAGAGAAGCUAAAGGUUGCCUAUGACUUUUUUUAAGAUGAGGCAUCCUUAUAAAAAACAAAAAAAAAAAACUAUUAGCCAGCAAUAUAAAUAAAGAAGCAACGCAAGAUAAAGAAUAAAAUGAGAUAAUAUAUUAUAGAGUGAUUUUAUUCAUUCCAAUUGUGUGUGUACAAAAUAAAAAAAUGAGCUCUCCUUUUAUAGUUACAUAAUCACUCCAUGAAAUUAAUGAAAAAUUAUGGAUCAUAAUUCCUUAUGAGAUAGUGGGAGUUAUAGGGAAGCUAAAGGUUGCUAAUGGGAGAUAGUAGGGAGACUAAGAGAUAUAUGUUAUGAACAUUUACAUUUAUUUUAAUAAAUUCAUAACACUCCUCAUUACAAAGAAUAUGCCUCAUUAAAAUCUUUACAUAAUUGUUAUUGUGUAAUAACAAUCAAAUUAAUUAUGAGAAGAUGAAAAGUCAAAUCUAAAAGAAAAUUUCUCUAUUUAUUAGAUAAUAGAGAAUAUACAAAGAUGAGAAAUUGUGAUGCCACAUCACCUUCUCAAGUCUCAGCUUUAUAUAUAUAUAUAUAUAUUACUGUUUAAAUUCGGUUUAAAAUUCAACAUCUUAAUCUUUAUUUAAAAUUUAAAAUUUGUACUUCAACAACGCAAGCCUGAUAUAAUUUUCCUUUCGGAAAAAACCCACAAAAUUAUAGGAGGCCCACGGCCCCUACCCAUUCUAUUUUGAUCGUUACCCCACCGCCCGAAUUAACUUUACACCCGAUUUGUCGAAAAUAUGGCGCCAAUUUGCGCCCGCGAAAUUCAAAUUAAAAAAAUUAAAUAAUAAACAAAAAUAUGUUGCUAUCACCGUUAUCCUUCUGCUCAGAGGGAGAGAAAAAAAGAUCUGAUGGAAAAUCCAAAUCAACUCGGUUCUCAGGUACGGAUAAUUCUGCUGCUACAUAUUUUAAUCAUUAUCAUCUGCUUCCUGUUUGGUUCCCUAGAAAACGCAGGAAAAUGAACGAAUUAAAUGGUUAUUUUCGAAUUCCCCAUAAUUCCUUUAUUUCUCCAUAAAUACAUAUGACGAUAGAAAUGUCUGAACUCUAUAAUACGAUCUUUAUUGUCACAGAUUCAAGGUUCCACAACUCCGCUAUCGCUUUCUUCUGGUUAGUACAGUUCUUUUACAUUUGGUUUUCAUAAUUUAUGAAAUUGCCCUUUCAUUUUAUUUUUAUUUAUUUUUGCUUUUGCUUCUUUGUUUGGGGGGGGGGGGGGGGGGUGUUAUUAGAGCCGCCUGAUGUUAGAAACUGGUUCUUGAGCUAUGAAUAUGAAUCCCCUGUAUUGGGCACAAUUGAUGGAUUCAAAGAUCCUGUUACUAGAGAGAGCGGAUGUUUCGUUUCCAAAGAAAGCACCAAAGAGACAGAAAAUCAUAUUAUCACCAGUGAGGUACUUGAAACCGAAUGCAUUUACUUAAUCAUACAUAAGGUUAGAGUCUCUUUUAUCUAAUAAUUAUUUUUAUUGUGAUAGAUUCUGGAUUCCUCAUGCUUGCCCUCCCAGGUUUCUGGUAUGAGUUGCUUCUUUUCAUUUAUGACGUUUGUUCGAAUGUUCGAUGGUUGCAUGAAGAUGUGAUUUUUUUUUUCUCGUUUUGGUAGAGCCUGCUGACAUUGGAAACUGGUUUUCAAGCUAUGCUUAUGAAUCUUUUGUAUUGGAUACAAAUGAUGAUGUUCAAGAUUCAGUUUCUGAAGGAAGUGAAUGUGAAAAGGAAGGGUCUCUUGUGGGAGAACGCCAUAAAGGACAAGAGAAUAUGAUUGCAACUAGAGAAAUUGAUGUUAAGAGUGAUAGUUCUUUAGGAGAUGAUAAGCCUGAUGAAAAGCCCUCAAUUAAGGUAAAGUUAUGAUUAUAUUUCUUUUGCCUUUUUGGCAUUCUGUUACCUUUUCUAGCAUAUGAAUUUAAAGGUGUAUCCAACAUUAUUUCUUGUAACUAGACAUUAUUGAUUUACUUUCACAACUACAGCGAUAAAAACCAGCUGCAAAGGGCUAAGUUUUUUAUAUCUAACACAUUGAUGUUGAUUCAGAUUUUGGAUUCAAUGGGUCCAUCUACUGUCUUCACAGGUUAGAAUUGCUGCCUUUGAAAAUUCUUAUUUGGUUGUUCAGUAAUUUUGCAGAAGUGAAUUUUGCUUUUGUUUAUUCUUGUGUUAGAACCUCCUGAUGUCAAAAAUUGGUUCUCAAGCUAUGCAUAUGAAUCUCCUGUACUGGAUACAAGUGAUCAAUUUGAAGAUUCACUUCAUUUAGAAAUGGAACCAGAAAAAUUUGUUGUUGAAGAUAGUGAUGCAGAGACAGAAGAGAAAUUGACCAUAAUUAGAAAAUUUAGAAGUGGAGAUGAAAAGGUUGAUGAGGAGAAAGAGCGUUAUAGUUUCGCAAGACAUAAUAGCUCUAUUGAAGUUCGUGAGCAGAAACAGGUUUGUAAGGUACACUUUCUGUAUCUGUCUAUCUCCUUGUUCCAAAAGAAAAUUAAAAUUGUUAUUAAGGAGGGAAAGCAUUUCACAUAUUUGUGGAAGUCAUAUUUUAACUUUCGUGGUCGUGUUGCAGAGAAUUGAUAGGAUUGGAGGGAAAAGAAGUUCGUCUUCUCAGAAUAAGAUACAAUCUGAUAAGAUUUUUAAAGACAUCUUGGAAGGUAAAGCACAGCAAAGCAAUGUCACGAGUCCAUCCAAAGAUAUUAGAGAACUAAGCUUUGAUGAUGAAGGUUCUAUCUCCAAAUUGGAGCUAAAAUUGUCCCAAGAAGCUUGUUCUGUGUCGUGGAAUCUCAAUAGAAUUUCAAGCAGUAAGAAGGAUAAACCUCAAACAAACUCGUUCCAUACGACAGACUUCAAAGAGAAGUUCAUGGAAGAAGUUAGUCCUUUAUCACCUACGAGUAACUCUAAGUUGGCUCAAGAUUGUGGAGCUUCGCCUAGGAAACAAACUCAUAGGAGGAAUGACAAGGAAAAUUAUCAAAAAGGAAUUGCAGAAAAUGGUUUUGUUGCAACAAGGAAACAUGGGAGUACAAGAACAGCAAAUGCAGAUUCUUUGAAAAUGUCGCAAGGGAUUUUAUUAGAGUGUUCAAGGAAUAAUAGAAGUGUUUCGCCUGCUGGUGAAAAGGUUGUUGAUAGAAGAAAGGCAUUGAUAGAAACGACCAAUUAUCAGAACUCUGAUGCUUUAGAGGUCACUGGAAAAUGGAGGUGUCCUCAAAAGGGUAAGCCAAGCCUUGGUCCUCCUCUGAAGCAGCUUCGUCUUGAGCGAUGGAUUCAUAGAGUAUAGAACUCUUAUCACUGUUGGGAGAAGUCUUGGACGCUUAGGAGCGACUUAAGCUAAUUGGUAUUCAAAUUCCAAAAUAAGCAAGCAGGAUCAAGUGCAGUCAACUAGUUAAGAGCAUUCUUAUGUUUUGCAAUAUUCGUUUGACGAGGAGUUAAAAAAAAAAAAAAAAACUUUUCUAGUCUUUUUAGAUGAGUAUCUAAAAUCUAUUUUUAGAAACGAUUUUUGCAAGACAAACUUUUGUUCAAACUUUUUUAUAAAAAAAAACUACAAAUCAAACCUGAACUCUAUGUUGUAAACAUACCAUGAAGGUAUGUUUACAAUUUUAGCAUAACUGUUGUGGGAUAAAUUCUCAUAAUAUAUAUAUAAAAGGAGCGCCUGAGUGAUUUGAACUUUUAAGUUAUGUCAUGUAAUAGUGAUAUAAGGUGGAAUAUUUUAUUCUAUUAUUUUUGUAAAUUCACUGUAUUUUAAAAAAUAAUUAUAAUAAUUUCCUGUUAUUUUUAAAUAUUUGACAACUAAUAUUGUUCACCCGCGGGCCAGAUUCACAAUCAAGAAUUUAAAUGAACUAAUCGUUGUUAUGGUAGUAUAUUAAAAGAAUAUAUAUGAAAUAAUCCUCUUAUUAUGCUAUUGUAUACCAACAACUAGCAAGCAAUUACGCAAAAGCUUGUUCAAUUUGAAUGAAAAUUGCUGGGAACAUUAUAAAUAGAUAUCACGUAUUUUAAUAAUUAUUUAUUUCAAACCUUUUCAUUUAUGUUAAAAAAAAGAAAAGAGAGAAACGUUUCAUUUUAAAUAAUAUGGUAUUUAGUACCUUGAUGUCAAUGAUGGGAUGAAAUGUACUUUCUAAAAUAAUUUUAAUAACUCAACAAAGAAAAUCUUUAAUACCAAGUAUCAUCUCUUGUAUCUUAUUAUAUGUACAUCUCAACCGAUCAUAAAAGUAAAGAAUAAAAAAAUUUAAUGGAUGAGAAAAUGUACACCUUAAACACCUCUAAAAACAAGAAAUUUGGAUAUAAUUAAAUCUUAUUUUGUUUAGUUUUUCUAUACAAAUCUUGGGACAGAAUUUAUGUCUAGGUUAGCUAGCUACUAUAAGGCCUUGCAAAGUUUCACUGAAGAGAGAACUAAGCCGACCCAUGAUGAUUGCACAAGCAGUUUGCAGCCCAUAGAAUUUAUAGCCUACGGCCCACGUUUCUCCGCCUGAUUAUCCAUCGCUCACUCGCUCUAUCAAAACUGUCUCUUCGUCGUCGUCGUCGUUGGUGUGCUCGCGUGGGAUCAAUUUUGAGUCAACAAUGAGUGCUUUAACGAAGCUAACGAAAACACUUGCACAUCACUGCGUCAAAAAAUCUAAAACCCAUUGGUGCAAACCUUCCCAGCCACGGUUAAAUUUAUUAAUCUCUGAAAAUAUUGUUAACAUCAACACUUCUCAGUUUCAUCAGUACCAAAGCCGUAGAACUCUCAUUCUAGAUUCCGCUUCCUCCGAAUCGGUCCAGCUUCAGCGACUCUCCGAUUCUGAUUCCGGUACUUUCACUUAUACUUUUGAUUGAAUAAAUUUUAUUUGUUGACUGAUAAAUUAGUUGCUGAUUCAAGCUUGUGAUUGAACAGGAAUAAUUGAGGUUAGUUUAAACAGACCUGCGGCAAAAAAUGCGCUUGGAACGGAUAUGUUGAGAGGCUUAAAGCAUGCAUUUGAAACUAUCAGUGAGGAUUCCUCUGCUAAUGUUGUCAUGAUACGUAGCUCGGUUCCUAAAGUGUUCUGUGCUGGAGCUGAUUUGAAGGUACUGUUAUUAAUAAUUUUUUUGAUUUAUUUGUUUUUGCUGAGCAAAUAGAAUCGAAGCAACUUGUGUCUUAAUUAGGAUGCUUUAACAAUAGGUCAAAGGAAAAAUGGAGUUUAGUUGUGAUAAUUGGAAUUUGCAGUGUAGACAAGUCUUUAUUCUGUCAACAAUUAGUUGUUGAGUGGCAGCUCAAGGCUCGUGAUCUGGUCAUUAUAAUUUUUUUUUUAAUUUCAUAUUUUUAUCUUCGCUUAAGGAUUGUAUGAAUAUUAUGGCUGACAUACACAUGCUUAACUGUUGUUGCCUUGGUGGGAUUUGCAGGAACGCAGGCAAAUGAGUCCAUCCGAGAUUCAUUUUUAUGUCAACACAUUGCGAUCUACAUUCUCCUUCUUAGAGGUUGUGACUUUGAUUGAUCACCCACUAUUAUAUAAGUUUCUAGUUAGAUAACUUGUGUGCACGAGAAUUAUGUAUUUACACAUAAGAGCAAGGGGGGUCUGUGUGUGUGUAUUUAAUAUUAGUGCUUCCAUGCUUCUAUCCACUCUCAGUCUGUACUAUGGUCAUUUCAUGAUGAUGUGGAUGUAUCUAAUUUAUCACUUAUACUCUGUUCAUGUUCAUAAAUUUUUAUAACUUGUGUUUAUAUCACUGCCUAUAAUUGCUACUUCUCAACUAGGCACUUCCUAUUCCAACCAUUGCUGUUAUUGAUGGAGCAGCAUUGGGUGGUGGACUUGAAAUGGCACUAGCAUGUGAUCUUCGCAUCUGUGGUAGGUUCAAUUUAUCGAUUUACAAUUUUCUUUUGGUCAAAAGAAUAAAAGUGUAAUUGGACUCUUCUUUCUAAUUACUCAGGAGAAGCAGCACUAUUGGGCUUGCCUGAAACAGGACUUGCUAUAAUUCCUGGGUAAUGCUUGAAAUCUUGUUUCACAUUUGGUAAAGUUGUAUUGCAUAGUUCCUGCAUUUUGUUUGGUGGCAAGGAUUUAUAUCAGUUGUAAAUGCCCAUAAGUACUUUUUCUUGCAAUCGCAGUUGAGACUUUUUAGAACUAAUUAUAUCAUUAGUUUGGCUGAGGAGAGUGGUCUUUUUUUAUUUUUUAUUUUUUUAUUUUAAGAGGAUCAUUGGAUUUCAUCCCAUUCCUCUCCCCCCCCCCCCCCCCAACCCCCCAAUGAGGCUCGAACUGUGGACUUUGGUCCUGAGUGGCUUUCUUUUCAUAUGACAAUUUUGGGCAGUUAUAUUUCUGUGUGAAUACUUCUUUGUUUCAAAAGCAGUUGCAGCGACAGGUCACUCUCUCAUGUGAUUCUGGCUUCUGACAGGGCGGGUGGGACACAGCGGCUUCCAAGAUUAGUUGGAAAAUCAGUAGCAAAAGAUAUUAUAUUUACUGGCCGUAAAGUUAGUGGCAAAGAUGCAAUGUCUUUAGGUGUGUUUAAUUGCACCAACUGAUAUAUGUUGUGUGUGUUUGUUACGUUGGCAUUUAUGUGAAAUUUAAAGAUCAUAGUAGCAGUAAAACUGCCAUGCAUCAUAUCCAGUGAAAGAGUGCCAUGCUGCAGGUCUUGUCAAUUACUAUGUUCCUGCUGGUCAAGCUCAGUUGAAGGCACUUGAAAUUGCUCAGGAAAUAAAUCAGAAGGUACAAUCUGUCUUCAGAAUUCUCUUGUAGGGAAAAGCAUGUGGUGUGUUAUAUGACUUCAAUACUGUCAAAAAUCUCUCGGCAGCCAGAACUUGAGCACAUUUACCUGAAUUUUUGGCAUCAUGAUUUUAAAAUUAUGUCAUUGUGUGGUAAAUCAUGCAUGUUCGAAAACUUUAUUUAAGCAGAGAUACGAUUAUGACUAUAUUAGAUGCACGGAAGCUUUUAGAAGACCUUCAGCCCGUAGAGUUGCAAUUACUUGGUGUAUGUAUUUGUACUUUUUGGUUGGUGUAACUUCUCGCUGUCCAAAUUAUACUUGAUGUGAUGAAGUAGAUCUGGCUUAGAAGCUAUUGAAUGGGAGAAAUAACAAACUUGAAUUUUUGAGUUCAAAGUAACAACUGGUUCUGUUCUUCAGGGUCCGAUAGCCAUUAGGAUGGCUAAAAGGGCUAUUACUAAGGGAUUGGAGGUGGAUAUGGCAUCGGCAUUGGAACUGGAAGAAGAGUGCUACAUUGAGACCUUGCAUACAGAGGAUCGGUUGGAGGGCUUGGCUGCAUUUGCCGAGAAGCGGAAACCCAAGUACGCCGGCACAUAGAGAGAGAGAACGCUGCCAAUAGCCCUUUUUCUAUCUGGACAGGUUUUCUUGGGCGCGACAAUAAUGGGCACAUGAGCAGUUCGCACUGCAUAUGUUGGACAGGCCUCAAAUGUAAUAUUGACAAUAAUGGGCUCAUAAGCAGUUCCUCUGCAGAUGUUGGACAGGCUUCAAAUGUAAUAUCAACAAUGUCAAUAAUAUUUAAUGUUAAGCUUUCAUGGGUAGCUUGAAGCUGUAUAUUUUGUGGUAGCCUAAUUUUUAUCAUUGUCAUCAAAGUCAGUCUCUUUACUUUUUGUUGUUUUUGUAGUUUGAGAUUAAUCUAACAAAUCUCUAUUUGAAAGAGAACGCACAUCAACAAUUCUACAUUUUAGCGUCAUUCCCUUCCUUCCCUUGAUCAGUUAAAAGCAUAAUAAAGAAUCUAUUUCAACUUGCUGGAUUGAAUUUCUCUUUUAUUUAACGGUUGUCAACUAUUAUAUUUCAUUAAUUUAACAUCGGUCGCCGCUGACGAUGAGCCAGUUUGGGAGUGCGGUUAUAAUUGAAUAAGCUGUUUAUUUCAUAAUUUUUUAUAAAAAUAGUAUUUGGUAAACUUUGUAAAAGCAAUUUUUUUCAUAAUUUUUUUCAUUUUAUCAGGAGCUUUUAAAAGCAGGUUAUGGGUUACUUUUCAUAAGCAGUUUAUUAAAUAAACUAUCACACCUUUUUAAAAAUCCUAUUAUAACCCUAUAUUUUAAUAAAAAGAUAAUUGUAUCUCACUUAUCUAUAAAUCUUUAUAUAUAAAUCAUCAUAUAUCAUAUUACCACCGUAACCACGUACAUUCUCUCUAGUUUUGAUGUAAUAAGUUCAUAUUCUAAUUUCAUAAUUAUGACUUUUAAAGUUUAAUCUAUAUUAUAUAUUUUAAAAAAAAGAUGUGUCUAAAUAAUUUAUUAAACAUACUCUAAAAAUAAAAAGCAAUUAAAACUUAUAUCUAUUUUGGUCAUUAUAUAAUAAAACAAUAAUUUCGUAAUAAAAUUUAUCAAAUGCAUAUACUCUAACUUUUCAAACUUACGGCAACCGCAAUAGCACAAUUUACUAAAUAUCAAACGACUUUUUUAAUCAGUAGCUUAUUUCAUAUGCACAUCACAAGCAGCUUAUUUCAUCAGCCCGUUGUAUUGUUUAUUUGUUUUAGUUUCAUAAUUUAGAUUUAAACUUAACAAUUAUUAUUAUUAUUAUUAUUAUUAUUAUUAUUAUUAUUAUUAUUAUUAUUAUUAUUAUUAUUAUUAUUAUUAUUAUUUGUUAUUCCGUAAAAACUCGAACACUUGUGUCCUGACGGCCAACGUUCGAUUCCAGCCAUUUAAUGAUGCGUUUACUUUUUGGAUUGAAGUAGGAAUCCUGAGGAGUGGGAAUUCUUAGAUUAGGAGUAUGGAAUGGGAGUGAGAGUAUGGUGUUUACUUAGACUAAAUGAAAGUAUGGAUUGUCAAUCAGAAUCCCAAUUAUUUGUUUACUUUGUCUUGGAUUGAGAGUAAAUUAUUUUAAAUUACAAUUUUAUCCGUAUGUAAAGAAUUAUAAUUUGUAAUUAAAAAAUUAAUAAAAAAUAUAUUUAGAAAAUAAAAUAAAUAUUUUAUUAUAUUUAUAAAUUAAUAAUAAUUAAUAAUAAUUAAUAAUAUUCUUAAUUAUGUAAAUCAUAAUUUUUUUAUUAAUUUUAAUUUAAAUUAUGUGAAUAAAAAUUAUUAAUAAUAACAACACAAAUGAAACAUUAUUAUUGAUAAUAUAGUACAAAAUUAAUAUUUUUUUAGAAUAAAAUAUUUAUUAUUAUUAAUUAAUUAAAUAAUUAAUAUUUAUUAAAAUUAAUGUUUAAUAUUAUUAAUUUAAAUAUAAUAUUUAUUUAUUUUUAUUUUAUUAAAUUUAAUAAAAUAAUAUGUUAAAAUUAUUAUUUUUAAUAAAUAUGAUAUUAUUUAUUUAUUUUAAUUAUGAGGGUAAAAAGGGAAGAGGGGGGAGUGGAUUCCCACUCCCACCUCUCCCCAUGGGAGUGGGAAUCCCACUCCCCCUUAAAAAAUGGUAAGUAAAUACUUAAGUGAGAGGAAUUCCCACUUCACACUCACACUCCGAAAAGUAAACGCUACCUUAUAAAUAAAGAAGGGGUAUUUUCGUCAGACCGAUAAUAUUUCCGCAUAAAUAAAAGGUACACGAAACCUAUAAAAAAGGAAUAAAGAAGAGGAAACGACAUUAUUUUUUAUUCGGUGUUUCUUCUGAUCUAGCUAAAGAGAAAGCAAAAUGGCAGCAGUAGACGAGCGUCCUUCAGCUAAGAGGUGGCUUCCUCUUGAAGCCAAUCCCGAUGUCAUGAACCAG